rnacentral:lncRNA from 1 species
CCUCGUAGGUGGUCUCCCUUGGGGGGACGUAGCCGGCCAAGGCCUGGCAAUUGGAAUUGGAGCUGCACCGGAAUUUCGGAGGAGGCUGAGCGACGCAGAGAGAGACGAGGAGGAAGGCAAAGAGCAGCGGGAGUGGAAGAACAACCGGGCCAAAGGGGCUUAUCAUCCUUCUCCUCACUGUCUUCUUUUGUUCUUCCUGAAGCACUUGUUGCUCCUGUUACCGUUUUAUGCUGGUCUGCUGGACGCCGGAAGCAUCGAAGAAGGUAUCGAGAUUAACCAUCCUCCGACCUAUGUCCUCUCUCUCUCUCUCUCUCUCAGAGUCACAAUAUGCGUAAAUAGCUGUCUUUGUCACGUUAAGGCGAGGUGAAGAGAGGAAUGGGAGGAGCUUCCUGGUAUCUGUUAUCAGGAAGCUUCCAAGUCGAUCGUUUCCGCGUGCGCAACGACCGGCACCUUUAUCAAAGCGAGGGGUUGAGGUCAAUCCGAGCAGAUUCCAUAAACAAUCUUGAACCCGAGCACGACUCCCUUUCAUCCCUCUUUCCUACGUCAAUCCUCUAAAAAAUAGAGGGAGAGUUGGAGAGAGACAAAAGAGAGAGGGUGAUGUCCUCCCUACAAAAUACGGGGCUGCCCAGUUGUUUUUGAUCGGCGAAAGCAACUGGUCACUGACUUGGUCCAUCGAGAAUGAUUGAGGACCGACGCACCAGGGAACGAAAUCAUCGAGAGAAGUACCCUGCCUUUGAGUAGAAGCUUUGGUGCCAAGUAACGGCUAUAAUAGCUGUGACACCAAUCGUGGGUUAGGACCGCGCGAUCGAACGAGAACAGUGCCGAUCGUAUGCCAGUUCCCCACUGGACUCGGAUGAGACUCACCCGAGAAGACCUUCACUCCUUGCCCUUACAAAACCCAGUAAGAGGCCGAAGACGAUACAACUUUCAAACGGGCCUCAAUUCUUACCACCGUUGGUUUUCAAUUCUUACCACCGUUGGUUUUUAAUUCUUUACCUUCCUUCCAAAAUAUGAACAGAAAUGGAAGAAGGAUGUUUGAGAUUUUCAGUGAGGCUACCAAACCCGCCAACGAGGUGAGCAUGUGAUGCUGAGCAGAAGUGAAAAAGAUCAAGUAGUUUAAGAAAACUACGUGGUGUAAGAUGCUUAAAGAUUUUAUAGAUCAGAAAAUAUUUAAUAGCAUGGUUUAACGAUCAACUGAAUAUGUAAGAGUGGUUAUCCUAUGAUGUCUUAGGCAACUAAAGCAAGGAAAUAUAUUAAAUGAACAAAUGAAAUGGAGAAAUAGGAAGAUGUACUUGAACCUUAAAAAUAAGAGUUGACCGUUGACUGUCGAUGACUAAGUCGUCAGCGGCACCGGCUGGCAGCUAAGGGGCGGACCUGACUUGGCCCGGGUGGCUGGAUGGCUCUCGCCCGACGGUAUGGAUCGCGGCUGGCUAAAAGGGGUAAGUGGUGUGGGCCGGUAGAAGUGGGCCAGAUGACGUCAAGCCCACGAUUGGGAUGGUAUUCAUCGGCGGAGAGAGGGGAGGAGGGUGCAGGCAGCGCCGGCGGGAAGUGAGGGCGAAGGUCGGCGGCUAGGCGGUGGUGAGGCGGUGCUUGGCAGAGGCGUCGGCAGGAUGGCAAGGCUGGCGUUGGUGGGCAACGAAGGGGGGAUGGCGGCGAACAGGCGGUGGCUGCUGGAGGGGAAUGUCGACGGUAGAGAAGGCGAUGGACAGGCAGCGGCGGUUGAAGGGAGGGCGAUGACAGCGGCGGCGGUUGAAGGGAGGGCGGUGCAGGCGGUGCAGGCGGUGGUGGCUGGCGGCGAUAGAAGAAAGGGAAGGGAGGGGGAAGGCUGGUCUAGACUGGGAGUAGCGGGGUCCUCCGACCAACCCAAGCCGGGGCGACGGGACCUUGCGAUCAGGUAAGGUAAGGAACUAAUCCUCAAAACUCCAUUUCUAAUUCUCCCCAGAUCAAAGGUCUGAAGGCCAAUUUAUAGGCCUCUCUUUAACGGGACAACAAAAUCUUAGGCUUGAUUACCUUAGUAAUAAUUGAAUCCUUCCGUUUCAGGACGUUUUCUGUGGUGCCAAGGACGGCAAGUCACUGAAUCAUGGUCGCAAUCGUUGCCUUCUUCGUUGGUCCUUCCUUCGUUUAGAGUGGCUUAUCGUUGAUCAAGGGAUGGUCGGGGACGUGCUACAUCAGCAUGAUUGUCGGGACCUGUUGUAGAUAGGGAUCAUGAACUAGUGUGAUGCCUAAGAAGGACACUGUGAGGAUUCUCACUGAACUAUCAGAUUUGGUUGUGUAGGAGGAUAUGACUCAAGUUGAUGGUGCUAUUGUAUCACCUUUGACGAAGGUAUUCCUUGGCACAUGCAAUAACUAUGUGGGGGGAUUCAUGUUCUUUUUCCUUAGCAGUGGACAUUAACUUGGAAUCUGACCAAUUCAAGUCAACUCUUAUUGAUUGGCCAAAGUCAACCUAUCCAUAUUGGUAGAAAUAUGCAUUGAUUUUUUUGGUACUAAAUUAGUCAUUAUCUUAAUGACUAGUGAUUAGUAAAGUCAUUAAUGUAAAAUUGUAUUUGAGUAAUCAACAUUGUUAGAGUUUUUAAGUAUAAGCUGCUGGAUAAAGCAUGUUUCUACCCACACAUAUGGAGUGCAAAGCCGAAGAGGUGGCGGAGUUGUUCCUACGGAACGUUGUCAAGUUGUGGGGAAUAUCGCGGAGCAUCAUCUCGAAUCGUGACUCCCACUUCACCAAGUAGUUCUACACGUCAUUGUUCACGCUACUUGAGAUGGAACUCAACUUCUCCACUACUUUUCACCCACCGACUGGCGGUCAAAUAGAAUGGGUCAAUGGCAUGCUUGAGCAAUACCUUUGCCACUACAUCUCCACCAAACAAUACAAUUGGGUAAGUCUACUCGACCUGACUUAGUUCGCCCACAACUUUCACCACAACUCGGCCACGGGCCAUUCACCGUUCGAGUUGGUCCUUAGCAAGUAAUUAUUAUCCCCUCUGAAAGUAGCAAAACAACACAGUCCAUGCCAACUUUUGAUGGCGUAUCAAUAUGCAAGACAUUGCGAAGACCUAUUGGAGGAUGUGUAGGAGGCACUCACCCACAUCGCAUGAUGGAUGAAAAAGUACGUCAAUUGACAUUGACGGGAAACUGAAUACUAGGUGGGUGAUUGGGUCCUCCGUAUUCUUCUCAACCACAAGAGCUUGCAGCGACUAAAGCACCAUAAUGGGUUGGUACCAUGGCACAAUGGCCCAUUCUAGAUUGUGGAGUGGGCGGGUCACCUCGCAUACUACUGACAUCUUCUACCUCACCUAUCAAUACACCCGGUUUUCCAUGUCUCCCUCAAAGCAUACCAUGCGGACGACGAUGACCUAACUCAACAUCGCACGCACCGGCCGCCACCAACCGUGCAGACCCACUUCACCAAGUAGGCCGUAGAUACCCUCGUGCAUUGGGUCAUCGAUGGUGGUGGCCACAACCACGCUCACCGGGUCACCCUCUACCUUGUGAAGUGGGCCAGCAAGCCCAGUGUCGAGGCAACUUGGGAGAAGGAGGCCAACCUCUGGUAGUUCGAGGCUCUGCUCCAACAUUACCACAGUCAAUAGGCUCCACCACGGUGAACAGACUUCACUAGCAGGGGAGGAUGUUACAUGGAGCCCAACUUUGAGCCCAACCUUGGUAACAGCUCAACCAUACGUCUGGUGACUUAGACGGACGGAUGGAAAUGGCACCACCAUACCACGGAGGGACGGGGUUGACGAUGUUAGCUUGAUGGAGGAAUUGAUAGAUAGUGACACUAACUUUUAGUCCCAUACUAUCUGUAUGUUGGAAUGGCCAGAGGCAGGGGUCUACUUAAUGGGACUCACUACCUCCGCCGAGACACACCUUAGUAUUACUAUUUGUAGUUUUAGUACUCGGGGCAGAUCCAUUGGAGGAAAUAUCUACAUUCGACAAGGAUUUGGACAGAGCUACUUGCACGCUUGGUAACACCCAGUAAUGGGUAAGCUUCAAGGAGGAAAUAGUCUACACAUUUCCCAAGGAGUCAAUCGCAUGUUUCCCGAGGUAGCUCAAGGUCUCUUCUCAUCUCGUAGCACAAAUAACCAAAGGGUACCAAAGAGAUUAGGAGUGAGCUUCCAACACAAUGAUGUCUACUUGUUAGUGAGGGAUUAGUGAGUUCUUUGAGGGCCAAGAACAAAGAUCUAUAUUCUGGGUUUUGGGGAGUACUUUUUUGUACUUCUACUAUAUUUAGUGGAGCUUUUCAUCGCCGCCUAUGAAUGUAGGAGGCCGACCUCUAAAUCACAUAAAUUUUUGUGUCUCAUGUUGUGAGUUAUUCAUUUUGUUUUUAUCUUUUAGCUUAUGUGCUAAGUCUAUGUUAGGCUUUUAUCUCUAACAAACAACUCUAUUUCUUUUAGAAAGACUUUUUGGCUUAAGACUUCUCACGAAUGGAUGGAGGAGAGGUCAAGAAAGUAGACUUGUAUAAACAAACCCUGAGCAAUACUUGAUGAAUGACUAUCUUUGAGUACAAGGUGACCCAUAGAUACAAGCAGGGGAGAGAGAGAUAAAUGAAGGGGGAGAGAGAGAACAUGGGCUCUUCAAGUCACCAAAUGCUCCAAACAAAACUUUCUUUCUUUUAAAAUGAUUCAAAUUUAAUGUUUCAUGUUGCUGCACAUUUGAUCUUGUGGUUGGCAUGGAUUACAGUUAUGCUAUUGAGGUGACUAAGUUCUAUGUAAAUAUCAUCAUGAGGCUGUGGUAUUGGGAUACCAUGUCAAUGAUGCUUUAAUAAUGUUAUUGACAGCCUUUGAGGAUGUUAUUUUUGUUGUAAGAAUCAGACCUUUAUUAUGAUAAUACAUCAGCAGUCCUCUAUGCUAAAUUCACCUUGAGAACAAGGUGAAAGUUCAGAAAUUUUUAUCAGAAAAUAGUAGUAUGUUUCUAAGAGAUUUGAGAUCAGAAAAAUUCUUUCAUUCAAAAGUAUCUAGGGGCUAGUUUUGUUUUUUUCUUGUGUCGUGCACUGUUCUUGGUUGGCAUGAGAGAAAGUUUCAACAACUUAAUUUGCAAUUGAUGGUUCGGGUUCACCUCUGUCUGGAUUGUUCUCAACAAAAUUGCUCGUCUGGUGCAAGUUGCAUGUAAUACACCUCGUUCUUUGAAACACGGAAUUUGAGAUCUUUGGCUCGUCUUGGGAAUGAAACAGAGGAUGCAGGAGAGGGAUUUCCUGAUAGCUAUAUGUUUUCUAUUUUUCCGUACUGGUUGUGUAGUGUUUCCUCAAGUACGGUCCAGGCAAUCGGAACGAGGGGAGAGGCGGGCUUGGAGGUGACGUAUGGUCUCUCCUGGGGGUCCUCCAGUACCAGCCGAGUUCCUUCUCCAUUAUAUAAUUCAUACCCUCCGAUUUAUGGUGGUCUUGUAAAGAUGGGUCGGUUUUAAAUGAUCUUUAAUCGUUUUCAGAAUAGUGUCAGCUACCAUGGAAAUCACCAAACGCUUACAGAAAUUUGAAAGUACGUGAUUUAAUGGUUGGAAUUAUAGGAAGACUGCGGGACUCCUCUCCGGUUCUUGAUAAUCUUUACCGUUGACCUUGCAGCAGCGGGGGAAAUUAGGCCUGCUUCUUCUUCAUCAACGAGGGACAUUAACCUGGACUUCGACCAGUUGAAGUCAACUCUUGCCGAUCGACCGGAGCCAAUCCAUGUAUCUUGAUGGAAAGAUACGUUGCAAAACUUUUCGUACUACGUUAGGCAUUAUCUAAACGAACUUGUGCUGAAUAAAACAGCAGACUAAAAACCAUACUUGGGUGAAUAUGAUUGUCGGUUUUUUAGCCUCCAUAAAUGUCUGUAUUACCUCGAGGUCUCCGUAUAUUGUGUUCUUUAUUUAAAGGUUUUGUGGUGAAUUUUUAAACAAAAGACAUCCGAAAAUCUGUCUCACUUAAAGCAAAUGGUGACGAUUCCAUGACGUCACAUAACACUGCGAUCCCCCUCGUCACGGUAAAGUGGAGCUGUUUUUUAUGACAGGGUAAGAUCGACUGGUCUUCUGCAAGCCGCCGGAGCAUCCGCUGAUGCCCGCGCAGAGCUGAGGAGAAGAUGGACGGGACGAUCCGGUGCUCCGCCAACUACGUCCCGCUGACCCCGAUCAGCUUCCUGGAGCGCUCGGUGGUAGUGUACGCGGAUCGGCCGGCGGUGGUCGACGGCUUGAGGAGGUUCACCUGGAGGGAGACGCGGGACCGGUGCCUGAGGCUGGCAUCGGCCCUCGCUCAGCUGGGGAUCAACCGCGGAGAUGUAGUGAGUUCCCUUUUACCCUCGCAGAUCAGGAGAAAUUUUUUUUACGAGGUCCCGUUCUUGUUGUCGUCCGAGCGUUUUUUUAUUUUUGCUUCCCCACAUUCAGUCGAUCUCGUUGUUGGAUUCGCUGUGGAUUUCUCAAGCGUCGUUCUUUCUCGAGUAGUUUUUCCAUGAUGGGUGUGUCUCCGUGCAUUAUCUUGCUGCUGCCUGCGCGCUCUCGAAGCACUGGAUCAAUGCUUCCGUUCUCCUUUUUUUUCUUUGCUAUAGGUGAAAGGUCUUCCACUGGUUUAAUAGUAAAUGUGUGUCAUGUGUAAUAGUGGCCGUAAGUUUAAAGCCACACAAAAAACUAUGUAAAAUUUUGGGUAAUCCCUUUCGUUUCUUGAUAUCUUUAGUUUUCCUUCUUCUUAUUUGAUUCCCUCCUCAUUUGCUGUGCAAAUCCUCGUCCUACCUCCUUUUCUAGUGCAUUUUAUCGGCGCACCUUGCUAACUUUGUGAGAUUUUUUAAUUAUUCAUCUUCUCAGGAGUCCUCAGGUUGCGCAUAAUUUAUGACCGGUAUAAUCAUGGCUGUACGAUGGAGCUUUACCUUUUUUGUGAUUGUCUGACGUAUUUUGCUGCACCACUUUUGGUUCAUCUCUGAUUAUCUGGUUUCGUUUCAUAUGCUUCCUUUCUGGUCUUUAUAUUUUAUCUCUGGCAUUCAUCACCCGCUGGCAAGAUACUCUGCAGUGACUCCACGGAAUUCAGAGGUGGUGUGAGCUGAAAAAACACUAUAAUUUUCCCAUCUGUAUUUCGAAAUCUAACCAGAGAUCAUGCUGGAGAUCGCACACUCGGAGGUGGAAAUCGGAUCUUGACAGAGAAUCGUAGAUCUUCCCAGAACUUCCCUAAUACUUUCAGCCGUUGCCUGACGACAUACCGGCAUGCCACCGGUGGAAACAAUGCGUGUUACCACCAACCCUCGUGUUCCCAGAAGAACUUGUUCCUUGUUAUUUACCCCUACAUUGCCGCGGAUUGUAGUUUCUUGAAUCGCGACUCGUUUCUGCUGAUUUCCACUCCGGCCUUCAACCUGUUUGAGUUUUUGCCCGCACCCCGAACACUUAUUUCCUUCCUGUUCUCGUAUCUUAAGCUUGGGAAAUCUUUCUCUUUCGUCGCCCCUGGUCGACUUCCUCUGAUCCUUUGUCCUCUGCACUCUGAUCCAGGUGUCUGUUCUGGCCCCGAAUAUUCCGGCGCUGUACGAGCUCCACUUCGGCGCUCCCAUGGCGGGCGCAGUCCUCUGCACGAUGAACACGCGCCACGACUCCGCCACGAUAUCGGUCCUCCUCAAGCACUCGGGGGCCAGAGUUUUCUUCGUCGAUCACCCGUUCCUCGAGGUCGCCAUGGGAUCCUUCAAGCUGCUAUCGGAGGAGAACCAGACGCCUACUCCCCUGCUGGUGGUCAUAUCGCAGUCGUCCUCCACCGGCCGCUCGCCGGCGAGCCUGGGCUACGAGGAUCUCCUCCGUCGAGCAGACCCUAAUUUCGAGAUCCGGUGGCCGGCGGACGAGUGCGACCCCAUCUCGCUCAACUACACAUCCGGCACCACCUCCAGCCCCAAGGGGGUCGUCUACAGUCACCGCGGUGCGUACCUCAGCGCCAUCGCUGCCGUCCUCCGCGGCGAAGUCCCCGCCGGUCCGGUGUACCUGUGGACGGUGCCCAUGUUCCACUGCAACGGCUGGUGCAUGGCGUGGGGCGUCGCCGCGCAGGGUGGGACUAGCGUGUGCCUCAGGCAGGUCUCCGCCGGCGACAUCUUCGCCGCCAUCGCCGAGCACGGGGUGACCCACAUGGGCGGCGCGCCGACGGUGCUCAACACGAUCGCCAACUCGCCGGAGGCGGAGCAGCGGCGGAGGUGCAGGGCACCGGCUACCGGAAAGGUGGUGAGGGUGCUGACCGGCGGAGCGCCGCCGCCGGCGGAGGUGUUGUUCAGGAUGGAGGAACUGGGGUUCGAGGUGACGCACUCGUACGGGCUGACGGAGACUUACGGCGGCGCCACCUUUUGCGCGUGGAAGCCGGAGUGGGACGCGCUGCCAGCACAGGAGCGGGCGAGGGUCAAGGCCCGGCAGGGGCUGCAGCACAUCGCACUGGAGGCGGUGGACGUGAAGGACCCCGCCACCAUGGAGAGCGUCCCCGCGGACGGGAGGACCAUGGGAGAGGUGAUGUUCAGGGGGAACACCGUGAUGAGCGGGUACUACAAAGACGGCGGCGCCACCAGGCAGGCCUUCUCCGGCGGGUGGCUCCGAUCGGGGGACCUGGGGGUGCGGCACGGCGACGGGUACAUCGAGCUCAAGGACAGGUCCAAGGACAUCAUCAUCUCCGGGGGGGAGAAUAUCAGCACCAUCGAGGUGGAGGCGGCGCUGUACAGGCAUGCCGCGGUGUUGGAGGCGGCGGUGGUGGGGCGGGCCGACGAGCACUGGGGGGAGACGCCGUGCGCGUUCGUGAAGCUCAGGGAAGGCGCGCGGGUAGCAGCGGAGGAGCUCGUGGAGUUCUGCAAGGCGCGGCUGCCGCGGUACAUGGCGCCGAGGACCGUCGUGUUUGUGGAGGAGCUCCCGAAGACCUCCACGGGGAAGACGCAGAAGUUCGUCCUGAGGGAGAGGGCGAGGGCCAUGGGGGCCUCCCGCAGCAUGCUUUGACGACGGGGCAUCCCUCCCUCAUUCUCUCUCUCUCUUUCGCUAUCUCUAUAACAAGCUUUGACGAUGGCACUGUCGGCGCAGUUCUUCCUGCCGUUAGUGGGAAUGAACCUUUCAUCACGUACCACCCAACCCCCUUAUCCUUUUUUGUUUCUUUCGGGUUCUUUUAAUUUCGAGAUUAAUCUCAUUGAUUUAUAAAAUUAGUUCCAACUCAGUCCAUGUUUAUCGCUGUGGCUGAGGAUCAUAGGAAAUCUUUCAAUGUAGACCAGACGAAUUAAAAGCUAAAAUGUGUGACAACCACAUGUGCUGUCCACCAAGGGAAUUUACGACGCUCGUUGCCAAUUUCUUUUUGGAUCAACUGCUGCUGGCCUUUUUCGCACUAUCUUCCAUCCUCGCGACGCAUAUCUGUGUUGCCGUAUACCUUAUGAUAAGGUCCUUAUCGGUUGUGAGAAGGCAACUGAAUUGUUGACAAAAGCAAUAUUGGAUGAUAAUAUCACAGGGGCAGUAAACAAUUGAGAAUUUAAGAUGAAAGAGACACAUCAAUGACUUUGCACAGGAGGUUUACAUUGAAAAAAUCGAGGGAGGUAGAACGAUAAAGGAGAUAAUGUGAAUCUGAACUCUGGAAACGGAAUUAGCCCUUCUCCAUGGAAAAUAGGCAUCCUUUUUGGCCCUAGUCAACCGAUUUCAGACCCAAGAUUAGGUUAAACACCCGUCAUCUAGUACCAAACGUGUCCCCCACUUAACAGGGGACCAACAUAAAAGAGCUUGAUCCACCACUGGUCUCAGUACUGCACCAUGUGUUCUGGUGAAUUAAAUGUUCAUGUUUAACGAUAAUCUAGCUUAAAAUUCAUCAAUAUUGGGUGGAGAAAAAUAAAUUCAUCAAUAUUUGAUACUUUAUUGUAUAUAAAUAAUUAUGAGGAUAUUAUAACAAGAUUUUCCCGUUCAUACUGAUUUUCUGGGUGUAUCAUGUAUUUGACAUGAAUGCAGUGCAUAAAGUUCAACAAAAACCAGCAUAUUAUGUGAACAUCACUGAAAUAUUUCUACGCUAAGAAUUCACAUCUUCGUAAUGAUGAAGUUAUUUUACAUUAAAAGGGGACUGUGUGCAAACGGAACAACAUGGGGAAGAUAAUUUAGUCAAUCCUGAACUUUGUACUCUCGACGAAUGGGCCGUCUCUCUCAUUAUCCAUUGACUUACUUAUUGUAUGGUAAUGAAAGCGGCUAGACCUGCAUCGAAACAAAUCGUAUCAAAGGAUGACGAUAUAGAAGAAGGUCGGGCCGACAAAGAAUAAGGAAAUCAACCUGUAAUCAGUCGCGUGACCGGCGAGGCGUCGCCCUUCGCCGCAGCCCUACAGGACGGCGAAGAGGAGCAGAAGCAGUAGGAGAGUCCAGCGCAUAGGAAAUUCGCGCUUCGCCGAUCGUCCUCCCAACGGUGACGGUGUUUGGGGACCUUCCCGAAACCGAAACCAGAUAGAAUCACAGAGUAGGUCAACCCGCAACUGACGUAGGUUCACCGAAUCCAAGUAAAAGAGAAGCAAGAGCAACAGCCAUAAGAGGCUCGGAGUUGUGCAGCUCACCGCAUAGGGUUUUUGGGCCAAAACUGGUGGUGGUCAAGAUUUUUCCGUUGUUGAACCCGGCGUAGAAGCACCAGGUGACGCUACAUGCCGAGACGUAGGGUACUUGAAAAUCGUGCUGAUCCUCGGGAUUCUCAUUUGAGUAGCAGACCGACUGGUUGCAACGUAAAGUUGUGUUGAGGAGCGAAUCUGGAGCCUUGGCGCACAACAGCCUAAAGAAGCACAGACGACAAUAUCUCGGUGGAAUGGUCAUACGCUCGAAAGAGGGGGAGGGGUUGCUAUUUUGGGGCUGGAGAAUAGAGCUAGAGGUUCUCACUCCGCCCCCGGUACGUUGCACGUGCACCUAACGCAGUUGCCGGCGGUGAAGGCGUAGCUACCGUUGGGGACACGCAGGCCGUAGUCGGGGGAUUCCGGGACAAUUGAGGGCGAGACGCAAGCUACCCGCCGCAGCCCUCAUAGUCAGUCGGGAAGCGAAUUUUAAGAGGAGGAAGAAGCCAGAGGGAUGACAAUCACCGGUAAGGGGGACGUCGAGAACUUGACCCGCGAGCAGGCUCUUGGGGUCGGAUAUGCUGUUGCGGCCGAUAAGCGACGCCUCCGACGAACCGAACUCGCUGGAGAUUUCCGCCAGUGUACUCCCCAGCUUCACUACGUGGGCGAGGUGAAUCGUGUGAUUGUCAACAUCAUCGCAGCUGCAAGGGAGGGGGAUGAAGAGCCGCUGCUCCCCGUUGAUCAGGGAGGCGUUCGCUAUGCCGUUCGCGGCGGCGAUCUGCUGAUAGGUCACCAACCCGCCGAAGAUCUCCCGGGAAACCGCCUCCAGAGAGUCACCAUUCUUCACAUCGUAGACCGGCUGCCUGUCUGAGACGCCUGUCCCGUUACCGCAGGUGCAGGUGAAGGGGAUCCGAACGGUGGUGUUGGCGGGGACUUUGGUCGAAGUCGGGGUGGUUUCGUUCAGGCCGUUGGCUCCAUAGAGAUCGUAGAUGGAAUCCACACCGAAGAGUCCCCUGAUAGCCUCGUAUGUUGUCUCCCUAGGGGGGACGUAGCCGGCCAAGGCCUGGCACUUAGACUUGGAGCUGCACCGGAAUUUAGGAGGGGGCUGAGAGACGCAGGGAAAGACGAGGAGGAAGACAAAGAGCAGCGGGAGUGGAAGAACCAUUGGAGCAGCGGAGCGUAUCAUCCUUUUCCUCACUGCCUUCUUUUGUUCUUCUUGAAGCACUUGUUGCUCCUGUUACCCUUUUAUGGUCUCCAGGACGCCGGAAGCAUCGAAGAAGUUAUCGAGAUCAACCAUCUUCCAGCCUUACGUCCCCCCCCCCCCCCCCUUCUCUCUCUCUCUCUCUCUCUCNNNNNNNNNNNNNNNNNNNNNNNNNNNNNNNNNNNNNNNNNNNNNNNNNNNNNNNNNNNNNNNNNNNNNNNNNNNNNNNNNNNNNNNNNNNNNNNNNNNNNNNNNNNNNNNNNNNNNNNNNNNNNNNNNNNNNNNNNNNNNNNNNNNNNNNNNNNNNNNNNNNNNNNNNNNNNNNNNNNNNNNNNNNNNNNNNNNNNNNNNNNNNNNNNNNNNNNNNNNNNNNNNNNNNNNNNNNNNNNNNNNNNNNNNNNNNNNNNNNNNNNNNNNNNNNNNNNNNNNNNNNNNNNNNNNNNNNNNNNNNNNNNNNNNNNNNNNNNNNNNNNNNNNNNNNNNNNNNNNNNNNNNNNNNNNNNNNNNNNNNNNNNNNNNNNNNNNNNNNNNNNNNNNNNNNNNNNNNNNNNNNNNNNNNNNNNNNNNNNNNNNNNNNNNNNNNNNNNNNNNNNNNNNNNNNNNNNNNNNNNNNNNNNNNNNNNNNNNNNNNNNNNNNNNNNNNNNNNNNNNNNNNNNNNNNNNNNNNNNNNNNNNNNNNNNNNNNNNNNNNNNNNNNNNNNNNNNNNNNNNNNNNNCCCCCCCCCCCCCCCCCUCUCUCUCUCUCUCUCUCUCUCAGAGUGUGUAAUAUCCGUCUAUGUCACGGUCACGGUCAGGCGUGAUGAAGAUAGGAAUGGAAGGAGAUUUCCUAGUAUACAUUAUCAGGAGGCUUCCAAGUCGAUCGUUUCCGUGGGUGCCAACCGCCACAACGACCACCACCUUUGCCAAAGCGAGGGGUUGAAUUCCAUAAAUAAUCUCGAGCCCCGGCAUGAUUCCCUUUCUUCCCUCUUUCCUACGUCAAUCAUCUAUAAAUAAACGAAGAGUUAGAGACAAAAGAUAGGGAUAUAUGCAUGAGGGUCCGUUGGGACCCCCCCUCCCUUCUCAUCUUCCGUAAUAAUACAGUGAGACCUAAUUGAUUUUCAUCACUAAAAAACAAUGUCACCGAAUUAGUCCCUUGAGAGUGAUAGCAAAGAUUUAAAAUUUUAACCAAUCACACUUACAGAAGAUGAACUCAACAUACCUUGGCACAAUGGAGAUUUUAAAUCUUGAAGAUUUCUUAUGGUUGAAAAAUCUGUUUAAUAAGAUUUUUCACAUUUUGGAGAGGAGGAUGAAAGACUAGAAAUGGAGGAGAAAAGGACAAGGGGAUAAAAAGGAUAAUGAGGUCAUGGGUGGGGACCAAUCGAGAGAGAGAUAAAGGGAAGAUAUAGAGCAGAGGGGAGAGAACAUGAAAGUGAGAGAGAGCGACGUGAGAGAGAGAGAGAGGGCGACGAGAGAAAGGGUGACAAGAGUGAGAGAGACGAGAGAGAGAGAGAGAGAGAGAGAGAGAGAGAGAGAGAGAGAGAGAGAGAGAGAGAGAGAGAGAGAGAGUGAAUGAAUGAAGGCUAAAAAGAACGAGGGAGAGGGAGAUCAAAAGAAGUCUCCCAAUCCAAAGAGAGGAAAGAAGAACAUAAGAACAAGAGAGAUAGGGAUGUCAAAGACAUAAAUCAUCAUUCACUAUCAUCCAUAAACAAGUUCUCACCAUUUAUAGAGGUAAGGAGAGGGAGAGGGCACCCAAAGGGGUAGUUAAUUGAGUGGUUAUUUGGGUGGUAGAGAGCGAUAGUUAUUUGGGGUCGGUAGAUCACCCCAUCGAAUAAGGUGAUAGGACACUCUUUUGGAGAAGGUUGGGCCUACUUUAGGAGGGCCCACUAGUUGGGGAUGCCUCUUCCUCCAUGGGCUCAUCUUCUUCAAGAUCUUGGGCUGAUUUCAUGGGUUGUACUAUUGGGUUGACCUAGAUGUAUGCAGUCCUCCUUGGGUGACUUGGCUCUAUAUUAUUGACUUGUGAUAUUGGGGCAUGGACCAGCCCAUUGAACUCUUCACUUGUUGUCAAAGAUACCUCAAUAAUUGUUAUAUUAUCUUUAUUUUCACCAUAUAAUUUAGAGUAAGAAUGGAUAGAUGUCAAGACAAUCUGUCUACAUGUUAAUCUUAUAGAACAAAUUUAUAUGAAAUAACUUAUAAUUUUUCUUAUGGAAGGAAAAAAAUUCGUACAAUUAUAAAGUAGAAAAUAAAUGAAGAAAUACUUUUAAACAUUUAUGAAAUAAAGAAAAAUUGUCAAAUUUAUUCCAAAAGAAUUCAUGUUAUGUCAUAAAUGCAUCAAAUAUGUUGAUUGUAGUGUCUAAAAUCAACAUAUUGAAAGCUUUAAUUAGCAAUGAAUUUGAGAUGAAAAAGUUGCGAGUAGCUAAGAAGGUUCUUAUAAUGGAGAUUCAAAAAAAUAAGGGUGAUAAAGAAUUAUAUUUGACUCAAGCUAAAUACAUUAAAAAAGGUACUUAUUCCCUUUGACAUGUGGGAUGCAAAGCAUGAUGAUGUUCAUGUUACUACACAUUUUGAACUUUCAAAUUCCUUAUCACCAUAGUUCCAAAAAUAUGAAUAAUUUAUGUCAUAUGUUUUGUACUUUAGUACAGUAAACACCAUUAUACAGACCAUAGUUUGCAUGACCUAAUAUAUCACAUGUAGUUAGUGUUAUUAGUUGAUAUAUGGCACAACUAAGUAAAGCACAUUGACAGUAUAGUUAAGUAGGUUUUUAGAUACUGGUGAGGUGCUAUUAAUGCAUGCUUAUAAUUUGUAAGAACUGGUGAUACAUGAUUGAAUUCAUUGAUUUAUAGUUUAGAUAAGAUCCUGAUAAAAUGAGGUCACCAAUUGAUUACAUAUUUUAAGUUAAUUGAUGUGUUGUUGAAAAACUUUCUUACCAACAAUAGUGAUUAAUUUUCCAUGAUAGAAGCAAAGUUUAUGGUAAAAAAGUUUUUCUUUGGACCGAAUUCAUGUCCAGAUUUUAUUAUUGUCAGUUUUGAUAGUUAGAGUGAUAUUGAUAUAUCUCAAGAUUAAAUGUAUUAUAAAAAGACAAAGCAUAUGGAUGUUAGAUAUCAUUUUAUCUUCAAUAUAAUUUAAAAGAGAUAUUAUUGAGCAGAAGAUUUGCAUUGAAGAAAAUAUAGUUAAUAUGUCAAGAAGGCAUAUUUCAUCUUCAAUGUUCCAAUAUUGUUUAAAUCUAAACGUAGUUGACAAUAUUUAAAAUUAACCUCAUAUGCAAAAAAACUAUGGAAGUUUUAUCUUAUUGUAGUUAUAAGGAGCUGAUAAAGCUUUGAAGAUGUUCAUGUUGACCAAGUCAAGAUGGAGAUUUUUCAGGGUGACUUGGUCAACCCUUCUUUUAAGAGAGGUUUGUCUAGACUCCACCAACCUUUUAAAAUUUUUAUUUAUGAUUGAUUUUUAGUAUAACACCCAUCCAGUCCCUUUUGUAACAUGGAUAUUAAAAGGGGGCUUGGGGAGAGAGAAAAGAGAGACAAAAAUCAUGGGUAUAGGAAACCCUGUUUUCUCUAGUGGCUGAAAUCUAGAUUCCAAAUCCUUGUCCUCUUCUCCUAUAUGAUAGCUCGUAUCAAUGCUGCAUUAACUCUAUGUAUUUCUAUACUUCGAUCCUCAUUGAAUACUUCUCAAUUUUUCCUUCUCAAUCUAGUGGUCUUGAGGUGUGUUAAUUUUCAGAUUAUUUUCUAUCAUUCCUAAGAAAAUUCAACAAAUUUAAGAUGUACAAAAUUUGAAAAGUAAAAUAAUUUAAGAAAUAUAUAUUUUUAUAAUAGAUUUUCCAAGGCUGUCACAUUGAAGAUCCAACUUGAUAAAUUAUCUAUGAUUUUCAGUUGAUAGAUUAAUUUUUGGAAUUACUUUAUUCUAAAAUUUAAUCAAAAUAAGCUAAAAAUAUGAAUUUGUGGGUUAAUGGCAUUAGCUAACAUCAACCACAAAGAAUACCCCCAAAUUCAGAGUCACUAAAAAUAUCUCGACCCAAAAAUUGAUUCAGUUAAAGCUAAAAUAGUUGAAAUAAAAUAUCAAUCAAAAAGGGCUUUUGUUGUUUGUAACAUGAUAGAAGAUUGAAUGAGGCUUUGCUAUAAUCUAAAAACUUCAAAACUAAGGAUAAAUAAAAGUCUACAGAAGAAUUAGAUGACAUAAUCAUGAAUUAGAUAUUGGCUUAAAUGCAAUCAAUUUCUUCAAGUGUGGUGCUCUGAAUGACUUUCUACGUCUUUUUCCAACUGAUGACUGACAUCAAUCAAUUCUGCUUGUUGAAAUCAAGUAGAGAAGGUAAUUCAACUCUGAGCAUGUAACAACAUAUUGAGAAGAAUUCUUAGAAGAAAAUUUCACCAUUUGUAUUGAAAGAAGAAUGGGGAAGAUUUGGGAAGAAAUUCAACCUCUAUAGAAGCUAAAUAAGGGAGAAAUUCAAAUGAAAUCUACCAUUUGUAUCAAAUGUAUAAUUUGGGCAACUCAAAUGUCUAUAGUAGUUAGAAGAGAAGGUUUUGAGCUAAGAGAAGGAUAGAUUGAUUGAGGAUAUGUUAUUCUUCUCGCAAAAUAACUUUCUAUUAUUUUCAACAUAUUUAUUACUACAAUCAAUGUGUAUGCCACUCGUUCGAAAACCUUAUAAAGAUUUGAUUUUUAAUUAGUUUUAAUCAAUUAUAAGUUAUAAUAAAAAAUGCAUUGAGUUACAACUCUAUUCUAAAUUGAUAUUUUUCAAUUUACUUGGCCAGUUUAUCUCUGAAGAAUCAAUCAAUUGUUCGACAUGUUUUUUUUUAUUGAUUUUGAAGAUUUUCAUCAAUUUUUCUGAAUUUUUAAUUUUUAUAAAUUUCCUUAGUAUUUUUACAAAAUAGAAAUUAAUGCUGAAAUAUUCCCAAAAUAUUUUGAAAAAUAAAAAAUGUGAGACAAUAUUUCACCAUAUCACAUGAUCAAUUUUAUCAUAUAAUUAUUAUAAAUCAUCAUCAAAUUCACAUAAAUAAUUUUAAAUCAAACAUUUCUAAUUUAAAGUAUUUUAUAAGCAUUUUAGUUAAAAUUAAAGUAUAAAUCAUAUAAAUAUUAAGGACAUUAUCAUGUAAAUAUUGAGAGUUAUCAUCCAUCCUCUUUAGACAACAUUAAAGCCUUGGUGCCAUAUUAAAACAUAUUUAUCUCUCCAUAUCAUUUGUUGUCUUGUUAGUAUUCUAUCCUCGUGCUCUCUUCCUUUUGAUGCUAUAUCAAGCCAUUAUUAAAUUCAUUAAGUCCUAAAUCUCUUUGCAUUCUCAAACAUGUCCUUGUGAUCAUAUAAUUUAGCAUAGUGGUGGUGAUAAGGCCUUGAAUUGUUGAUAGUAAAAAUCUUAGGCUUGGAUAGAUCUCAUAAUAUUUCACAAGUAGUAGAGAAUUAAGAAUUUAAGGUGAUAUAAUGAUAUUUACAUCAAAAUAGUCAAGGGAAUAAGAAAGUUAGGAGAUAAAAUUAUAGUAUAAGUGAUAGAAAAGAAAUCAGCCCUUCUCGAUGAAGAAGUGGCAUAGUUUUUCAUGUUGAUCUUUAAUAGUAGAAGACAAGGAUGUUGAUGCUUCAAUAUUUAUCUUUUUACUGUAUUAUCUAUUGGUGCCAUAGUGCGAAGAAUUUUAGGACUUAGCUCAAGGAGAGAAGAUGACUUGAUUAAGCUCAAAUUAAUACAUUCGCAUUCAUUGAAUAUCUAAUAGAAAAACUUCUCUUCUUCCUCUUCAAUGCACUACAAGGACCUUUGAGUAGAGGAAGAAUAUUGUGAAAGAAUAAAUGUUAUCAUUGAUGAAUAAUUUUUCAUGUUAGAGAAGAAUCAAAGUUAUAGGUAAAUCUCAUACGAACUUCUCAUAGAUUUUUAAGAUCUCUGAUAUCUAGAUUUAAUUAAAAUAUAUUUUAAUUCAAAGGUUGUGUGAAUUCAAUAUGACAUGUUCUUUUACUAUUUUGAAUAUUCUCUAAAGAGACCAACAUGCGAAUCUUUUAAUACAUUGUGUUCAUAUAUGAAGUGUGUCAGUUUUGAGAUCUGAUGAGAAUAUGGUAAGAUCUAUAUAGUGAACCUAAUAAGACAUGUCACGAAAAUAAUAAUUUUACUUUCAAAUUUUAUCUGAAUUUAAUAAAACAAAAUAUGAGACAUAAAUAUACUUUAUAAGUCAUGAUUUCAAUGUUUUAAAUCAUAACUUCUAUGUUGAGAGUGGUUCACAUGAUUUUCAACAUAUAUUCAAUAUUAUUUAAAAUAUCAUAUUCAAUGAAUUUAACACUUGAUAUAUCAUUAGACUGAUAUGAUGUUAAAAUCAUUUGAUUGUAAUGAAGUAAAAUAAUUGGUGCGUAAGUGACUAAAUAAAAUUUUAUAUUCAUAUUUUAUUUCACCAAAACUUGUUGAUUUGUUCAGUCAAAUCAUUACUUUAUUGGGUGUUAUAAUUUCUGUAAUAACGGUAAUUCACCUAUAACAUACAAGAUAAUAAAUUCUCAUGAUAUUGUAAUUCAACUAUUUAGGUUCAUACUAUGAGGCUUUCAUAUAUCAACUGGCUUCUCAUUUCUAUGAAUACAAUUUUGACAUAUUUACUUCUUACAUCACAAGGUAUAUUUUAUAAUGUAUAUGGUGCAUUCAUUUAUAUUUGUGUAUGUAUGUAUAUUGUUCAAACAUAAUUCAUUUAUUUGAUUACUCUCAAUUAAUAUUUGAUAGCUUUCUCAUCAUCAAAACAUACUAUCUUCAUGACAAAUAGAUUUUUGACCCAUGUUCUUUAACUUCUAUUAAUUUUGUUGAAAUAAAUGUAUCAUCAAUGGCUUCCCUAGUCAAUACAGAUUAUCACUUUAAAGUAUUAUUACAAGAAAAAAUAAAGAAAGAAGAAAAGAUGGAAUAAGAAUGAUUUUUUUAUAUCUAGUCUUUAAUGUAGGGCCUAACGAGUGUCCACAGGUCACCUCCAAGCCCACGUCUCACCUCCUAAUUGCUUGGAUCUCACUAUAGGAAACCGUACACAACCAAUACAGAAAAUAGAGAACUUGUAGUUAUCCGGAAGUUGAGUUCCUUGACCAUAAAAUAAUACAUGUAUCUUCUCGUUGCCCUUAGAGUUAUUUCUAGACCCCUGUCAUAUAUUUUCUGGAGAUCUCGUUUUUUAUGAUGCGCUUGUUCAGAUGGGUUGGUUUUGAAAUGAUGACCGCUCUUAGAGUAAUGUUAGUUCCAUGGAAAUCACCGAAGGCUUGCAGAAAUUCGAAAGCAUCUUCACCUGCUUGUUGUUAGAUUAAUCUGAGUUCAUGAUUAGAAUUAUAAGAAGACAGCGGGACUCCUCUCUGGUUCUUGAUCUUUACCGUUGAACUUGCGUCAGCGGGGGGAUUUGCCUGCUUCUUCAUCACCGAUGGACAUUAACCUGGACUUUGACUAGUCAACCCAAUUCUUGCGGGUUGACCGGAGUCAGCCCAUUUAUCUUGAUAGAAACAUGUAUUGGAAAAAUGUUCCGUAUUAAUCAGGCAUUAUGUGAACGGAUUGCGAUUACUAAACAUUCGACUAAACAACAUACUCGGGUGAUUGAAAUUGUCGGGUUUUUUAGUCUAAGCCGCUGCAUAAAUUUUACAAACCGGUCCUCAGUCCCAAUGCAUGUCUCUAUCACCUCGAGGUCACUAUAUAUUGUUUGUAUUUUAUUUAAAGGUUUUGCGGUGAGUAAAAAGAAUGUGGCUGUGAUAAGUGAUGAUGACGAUUUCCAUGACGUUACGCAACACUUCGAUGCCCCGUCACGGUGAAGUGGAGGGCUUCUUGACGUCCAUUUCCGCCCGCAUAGACUGCGAAAUACUUCUACUUUUGUUGACAGGAGACGAUCGACUGGUCUUCUGCAAGCCGGCGGAGCAUCCGCUGAUCCCUGCGCAGAGCUGAGGAGAGGAUGGACGGGACGAUCCGGUGCUCUGCCAAUUACGUCCCGUUGACCCCGAUCAGCUUCCUGGAGCGCUCGGCGAUAGUUUACGCGGAUCGGCCGGCGGUGGUCGACGGCUCGAGGAGGUUCACCUGGAGGGAAACGCGAGGCCGGUGCCUGAGGCUGGCAUCGGCCCUCGCUCAGCUGGGGAUCAACCGCGGAGAUGUGGUGAGUUCCCUUUGACCCUCGUAGAGCAUGCGAAACUUGUUUUAUGAGGUCCCGUUGUUGUUGUCACCCAAGCGUUUUUUAUUUUUUCUUCCCAAUAUCCAGUCGAUCUCGUUGUUGGGCUCGCCGUGGAUUUUUGAAGCGUCGUUCUUUUUCAAUUAGUUUUCCUAUGGGGGAUGCGUCUCCGUUCGAUAAGGAUAAAAAAUUUGUCUUGCGGCUGCGUGCGCGUUUUGGAAAAACUGAAUCAACACCUCCGUUCCCCUUUUUUUUCUUCGUUGUAGGUGAAGGGUUUCCGCUGUUUUGAUUAUAAACAUGCAUCAUGUGUAAUAGCGGCCGUAAAUUUUAAACUCCACAAAGAUCUAUGUAAAAUUCUGGGUAAUCCCUUUCGUUUCUGUGUCUUUAGUUUUUUUACUUCUGCUCAUUUGAUUCCCUCCACUUGCGCAGACUGAAUCCACAUCCUACCUCCUUUUCUAGUGCAUUUUAUCGGCGCAUCUUGCUAAUUUAAUUAGAUCUUUUAAUUAUUCAUCUUCUCAGGAGUCCAUAGGCAUAAUUUAUGACCGGUAUAAUCAUGUCUGUAGGAUGGAACUUUACCUUUCUUUGUCAUCGCUUUGAUUGUCUGACAUAUGUUGCUGCACCACUCCUGGUUCAUCUCAGAUUCGGAUUUCGUUUCAUAAAAAUGCUUCCUUUUUGACCUCACACCGGCAGACCUGGUAGAACCAUGCGCCGCCACCGUUGGAAACAAUGCGUGUUACCACCAACCCUCCUGAGGAACUUGUUCCUUGUUAUUUACCCCUACAUUGCCGCGGAUUAUACCUCACAUGGUCGAACUUUUCUGCCCAGGAAAAAUAAUUACUCAUGCACUUCGCUUGGUCGGGGUGAGGGUAAGUUCCGGCAACUCCUGUGACUGGAUUUUUUCUGACCAAGAUUACAACUCGGACGCAAGUUUCUUGAGUUGUACCUCGUUUCUGCUGACUUCCCCUCCCGCCUGUAACCUGUUUGAGUUUUUGCCCGUGGCUGGAACGCUUAUCUUCCUUCCUGUUCUCGUAUCGAAAACUUGGGAAAUCUUCCUCUUUCGUCUUCCUCGGUGGAUACCUCUGAUCUCUGUUCCUCCGCACUUUGAUUCAGGUGUCUGUUCUGGCCCGGAAUAUUCCGGCGCUGUACGAGCUCCACUUCGGCGCUCCCAUGGCCGGCGCGGUCCUCUGCACGAUGAACACGCGCCACAACUCCGCCCUGUUGUCGGUCCUCCUCAAGCACUCGGGGGCCAGAGUCUUGUUCGUCGAUCACCCUUUCCUCGAGGUCGCCAUGGGAUCCUUCAAGCUGCUAUCGGAGGCGAACCAGACGCCUACUCCCCUGCUGGUGGUCAUAUCGCAGUCUUCCUCCACCGGCCGCUCGCCGGCGAGCCUGGACUACGAGGAUCUCCUCCGUCGAGCAGACCCUAAUUUCGAGAUCCGGUGGCCGGCGGACGAGUGCGAUCCGAUAUCGCUCAACUACACCUCCGGCACCACCUCCAGUCCCAAGGGGGUCGUCUACAGCCACCGCGGCGCGUACCUCAACGCCAUCGCCACCGUCCUCCUCAGCAACGUCCCCUCCGUACCGGUGUACCUGUGGACGGUGCCCAUGUUCCACUGCAACGGCUGGUGCAUGGCGUGGGGCGUCGCUGCGCAGGGCGGAACCAGCGUGUGCCUCCGGCAGGUCUCCGCCGGCGCCAUCUUCGCCGCCAUCGCCGAGCACGGGGUGACCCACAUGGGCGGCGCGCCGACGGUGCUCAACACAAUCGUCAACUCGCCGGAGGUGGAGCAGCGGCGGAGGAACAGGCCACUGGCUACCGGAAAGGUGGUGAGGGUGAUGACCGGCGGAGCGCCGCCGCCGCCGGAGGUGUUGUUCAGGAUGGAGGAGCUGGGGUUCGAGGUGACGCACUCGUACGGGCUGACGGAGACCUACGGGCCGGCCACAGUCUGCGCUUGGAAGCCGGAGUGGGACGCGCUGCCGGCUCAGGAGCGGGCGAGGCUCAAGGCCCGGCAGGGGCUGCAGCACGUCGGGCUGGAGGCAGUGGACGUGAAGGACCCCGCCACCAUGGAGAGCGUCUCCGCGGACGGGAGGACCAUGGGGGAGGUAAUGUUUAGGGGGAACACGGUGAUGAGCGGGUACUACAAGGAUGGCGGCGCCACCAGGCAGGCCCUCGCCGGCGGGUGGCUCCGGUCCGGGGACCUGGGGGUGCGGCACGGCGACGGGUACAUCGAGCUCAAGGACAGGUCCAAGGACAUCAUCAUCUCCGGGGGGGAGAACAUCAGCACCAUAGAAGUGGAGGCGGCGCUGUACGGGCACGCGGCGGUGCUGGAGGCGGCGGUGGUGGGGCGGGCCGACGAGCACUGGGGAGAGACGCCUUGCGCGUUCGUGAAGCUCAGGGAGGGCGCGCGGGUGGCGGCGGAGGAGCUCGUGGAGUUCUGCAAGGCGCGGCUGCCGCGAUACAUGGCGCCGAGGACCGUCGUGUUCGUGGAGGAGCUUCCCAAAACCUCCACGGGGAAGACGCAGAAGUUCGUCCUCAGAGAGAGGGCAAGGGCCAUGGGGGGCUCCCGCAGCAAGCUCUGACGACGGCGCAUCCAUCCGUCACCUAUCUCUCUCUCUCUCUCUUUCUGCCGUCGUUUAAUCGCGAUAAUAAACUCAUUAAUUCAUAGAUAUUAGUUACAACUUAGUCCAUGUUUGGCGCUGCAACUGAGGAUCUCAAUUAAUCCUUCAAUGUAAACCGGUGACACCUCGUACGAAAUCUCACUGCUUAACUCCAGAUUUCUUAUGGGAUCCGGUUGUAACCCUCCCACUAGGGAGGGUUAACCUCGUUCCCAUUAUCUACCCGGCUAUUGAAUUCAUGUCCCUGUGCCCGUUAUGUAGCUUAGUGGUGGCGAUGAUGAUCCAUGUCCGUAUAAAAUUUGUUGACAAGAGAAACCUUGUGCCCUGACAGAUCUCAUAAUAUCACACGGCUCAAUAGAGAAUUGAGGAUUUGAGAUGAAAGAGACAUAUCGACGAUGAUGCACACGAUGAUUUACAUUGAAAGAAUCAAAGGAAAAAGAAAGAUAAAAGACAAUCGAAAUCUGAACCAUAGGAAAUAAGUCAGCCCUCCUCCAUGGAAAAGCUUCACCUUUUUUCUGCUCUAAUCAUCCACCAGUCCCUUUCCCAAGAUCAGGUCAAACAACGGUCAUCCAACAGCAAAUGCGGCCCACUCACUUUAUAAGAAACCAAGAUAAAAGAGCUUGACUAAACGUUGUUUUUACGACUGCAACAUGUGCUCGUAUGUAUUCAAAGCUAAGGUGUGAUAAUUAUCUAGGUUAAAAUGAAGUAUUUAAAUAUUUUAUCAUUUCAAGCUUCAUUUUUAUAAAAAAACAAGAUUUUCCUGUUCAAACUGAGUAUUUAAUUUAUUAACCAUUUAACUUAAAUGCAGUGCAUAAAGUUUAUAACAAAUCGUCAUAUGAUGUGAAAAUCGCAGAAACAUGUGACUAAACUGAUUGAUACUGCAUUAGGAAUUCACAUCUUCAUGAUGACAAAGUUUUUUUUUUCAUUAAAAGGGACUCUAUGCAAUUGGAACAACAUAAGAGAAGAUAAUUUAAGAGGCUGACCCAUCAAAUGAUAACAUUAGUUUUAGAUUUAUUUCAGUUUACGUUUAACUUUUGUCAUGAAUGAUAAUUUCUAGACGUUUGCUAGAAAUAAUAGAUAGAACUCAAUGAAUACUUGAUAAAAGGCUGUUUUUCUGUCUGAAAUUCUUUGUAAUUCAUUGUGAGUCAUCCCAAGAAUAAUUUGAAAUCAUUUUCUAUCAAUUUUGAUCAAUAGAUUGAGCUUAAAAUCCUUGCCAUUUUUUUGUGAAUGCAGAUGGAAUUUAUGAGAUAUUUUCCUAAUUUUGGAUGGGCUCAACAAGUUUAUGGUUUCAUUUUUAAUUGUUUAAUCCUUAAAAACUGAUGUAAAUUUAAUUAUUUUUCUACAUGUGUUAACACCUUUUUCGUGAGUUGUCUCUUACAUAGUUGUCCAGAAAUUGUGGUCAACGUGGCCUAAGACGUGUUGAGCCAUGAUUUUCUCUCUCCUAAUUAUCAUCUCUAUUUUCUCUCCUAUUUUCUCACUAAAACUCUAAAGAUCUCUUCAAAACCCCACAUCUAUCUCCCUAAAUUUUUCCCUCGAAAUUCCUUUGAAAUCUUGCACCUAUCUCUCUAUUCCCUCUUUACUUUAUUCUCUCUCUCUUGCUUUCUUUUUUUUUCUCUAAAUUCCUUCGAAAUCCUAUUUCUACCCUCCUAAUUUUCUCUUCCAAAUUUCUCUCUCUUUUAUUAUUCUUUCAUCUGAAUAAUAAGAGGCAAAUUAUAAUUUCAUAUUAUUCAUAGUUAUGUUUUAUUUAAAUUAUUAAAAGUAUAAAAUCAUUAUAAAAUUCUUAAAAAAAUUAGAAUUCCUUAAAAGUUAAAAGCAAGAUUUAUAUUCAUAAAAAAUUAUUUCUACUCCAUGUGUUUGACUUGAGGCUCAUUUUUAUACUAAAUUUUUGUUAAGUUUUAGGGAUAAAUAUCAAUACAUAGUGAGUUUAUAACACCAAUGACAAAUACCCAUCAAACAUCAUAUAAUUCCAUAAGAAAUUGAGUUUGCACUAGUGGGGAGGUAUCAAACUUGUCUUGAGAGGGAGAUGGGUCCAAUGGAGAUAUGAGUUCACUUGAUGAGUGAUAAUGUGUCAUUUAUCUAUGUUAAUCAAUGAAAAAUGAUUAGAAAUGUCACAUUAAUUGAUGUUAAAUACAAUGAUAUUAUAUGAAAAAUGAUAAAAUGCUUUUUAUAACUCAUUGCAUCAAAAUUAUCUCAUUUGAGUAUUAUUCUUGAGAAAUGUUUUAGUGAUUUAAUUUAUGCUAACAUGAAUAUCUAAGGCAAGUACCUUGAGAAAUAUUUUCUUGGGCUGCAGAAAAAUCAGAAGAAUGAAAGUUAGAGUUUCCUUAAUUUAUUGUAAUUUUGUUAGACUUAUAUUGGGCAAGAUAGUGGGCUGAUUACACAUGCCCACCAUCAAGCCCAAUAUCAGGCCCAAUACUCAACCCAUUUCAAUGGGGGGUUAAAAGGGAAGAGAAGAGGAGAGAGAAAUGGGGAUUGGGCGGACUGCGACGGCUAGGACACGGCGACGGCUGGCCUCUCCACGUGACAGGCGGAGAUGGUGACGACGAAGCGGUGGCACGGCGGCGUGGAGACUGCUAGGGCACAGCAACAGCUAGCCUCUCUGUGUGACAGGCGGAGACGGUGAUAGUGAAGCAGUGGCACGGCGGUGUGGAGAUGGUGAUGGAAGCUACGGCGGACAAAGCUUGUUCACCACAAAAUGGCUGAGGUGGCAAUGGCAACGAUGGUUGCUGCGAGCUUCCCUAAUGCGUGAUAGGCAUAGGUGGAGUCAGGCACGGCGGCAGCAGCGGCAUUCACAUCGAUUUUAACCCCCUUUCUUCCCCUUCUCAAACCCAUUUUGUGUGACAGAUGAAGAGGAGCGAGAAUGCCAUAGUUUAGGAAUUUUUAGCAUUUUCAUUUACUUUUCUUUCUGUAAUUUACUUGUUCGUUCUUUCUCAAAUAUUUGGGUUAUUUACAUUUCUUAAUUUCAGUAAUUUACAGCUUUCUUUGUCACUUCAUUUUAUUGUUCUUCUUUAGAUUUCUGAGUGACACAGGGAUUUGAAGAAGAAUUCUUAAAAUUUGAUUGUUUUAUUGAUUUCCUCACCACUCAUUCUUCUACUAAUCCAUGAGUGACACAUGGGUCAGUAAAGGAUGAUCAUUUUCUAGGUUUUAAUUUAUUUUUCUGUAUAUCUUUGAGUUCUUCUAUGCUAGGUGGGUGACACACUUGAUAUAGUUGAAUUCAAUUAAUUUUUUUAUUUUAAAGCUAAUCACUCUAUUUAUUCACAUAACUCUUUUUAUUCCCUUUGAUUAAAAAAAUAAUUAUUUGAGAAUAUGACUUGAUAUCAUAAUUUGACAAUCAUCUCUAAGGAUCGACUUGAACCACUAGAAUUUCAAGUUAAUUUCUAUGUUUUGAGUUUUGAUAAAAAUUUAAAUUUGACGUAUUUUAUUUCAACAACUAGAGUGCGAUCAAUGAGGGAGAUGGUGGGACUUCCAUAGUAAAUAGGUCUUGAGCAGCCUCAAUAUGAGAGUAAGUCAAAGUGUCAUCCACUAAUGUAGGGCCAUUUAAAGGUAGAGAGGUGAGUGUAAAAGGUCCAAGAAUACCAAGCUACUCGAGGGAGAAAUAGAUAUCUAUAGAAUAUCUGAUCAACCUUCAAAAGGAAACACAAAUUCAUAGAAAAUAACAUGUCAAAAAAUUUAAAGGCCCAAGUAGAGAUAGAGAUGUAAUGAAAACCAAGAUGUAAGGAGCUGUAGUCAAGAAAGACAACGAUCAGAUCAUUGGGUAAGCUUGUGUGCAAGGUAAGGUUUGGGAUAAUAAACACAACCAAGGGUACAAAGGAAUGGGUAAUUGGUUGUAUCUUGAAAAUGAAAUAGUAAGUGGAUUGGUUUUGAAGGAUGGGUGUAGGUAGAAGAUGAUUUAUGAGGCAAGUAAUUAUAGAGAUGACUUCGUCCGAGAAUUGAUGUAGCAUAGAGGCAUUAUGAAGAAGAGCGAGGGCAAUUUGAGCUAACAAUGUUUAUGUUUUGUUGUGUUGUUGUACUCAUGGAUAUGAGAGCAAGAGACCAAUGGUGAAUGUCACAUUAUUGGAGAUGACGAUGAAGUGAUGUAUACUCUCUACCCUAAUCAGAUUACAAGGCAAUAAUGUUAGUAACAAAUUGACAUUUGAGUUGAUGUUGGAAUUGAAUGAAUAUAUCAAGAACGUCACUUUUCUACUUGAGUGAAAAAAGUUAGAUAUGUUUACUAUAAUCAUCAAUGAAAAUGACAUAAUAAGAGAGUCCAUAAUGAAAUUGGUCUACAAAAGGUCCCCAAAGAUUAGAAUGAACUAAUUGUGGACAAUUUUAAGUUAUAGAAGACGAUUUAGAAAAAGGUAGCUUAUGACUCUUUGAGAAGAAACAUGAUUCACAAAGAGAUUGACUAGGAUAAUGAGUAGUAGGUAGGCCAGAUUGUUAGAUGAUGUUACAUAGAUCUGAAAAAUUGGGUCUCCUAAUCUUACAUGUCAUAUUGGAGAAGAGACAUGUUCCCCAAGACAAAUAGUAGGUACUUACUAGAAUAUGGGAGGUGGUGGAUAUCAUCUUUAAGUCAUCCUUGGAGAAGAACUUUUCUCGACAUCAAGUCCUUCACAAGAUAAUAAGAUGGGUAGAACUCAAUGGAGGCAUUAUUGACAUAGGUAAGCUUUUAAAUUGAAAGUAAAUUACAAGUGAUGUUUGGAACAUGAAAGACAUUAUUUAACUUACGGGAGUGUGAAGGAAUGUGAAAUAUGGAAGAUCAAUGAGAUGAGAUGGGUAUACCAUCAUCAUUUUUGACUUAUAAUUUGUCAAAACAUGUGUAAAUUAUAGGGUCAAUUAGUGUGUUAUAAUAUAGAGUGACAUGAUACGUAGCUCUUCUAUCUAUAUACCAUGUUGUUGAACUAUUUAUCGAGGGUUCUCCAAGUGUAGAUCCUCUAGAUGAUGUUGGUGAAGUACCAUAUGUGGAUGUGUAGGCAAUUAGAGUGUGAUGGUCAUUUUAUGGUUGGUCUUGUCAUGAGAGUUGAACAUUGGUGAAACUAAAUGAAAAGUUAUUGUUGAAACAUUUACCACACUCUAAGCCACGAUGCCUAAAUUGAAGACAAAUAUGACAUCAGGUACACAUUGUUUCCCAUGACCACAUUUCUAUCCUCUAUUACGACCACAUCCUCUAUUGGUAGGCUCACUUAUAUUCACAAGGUUGACUGAUGGAUACUCAUGAGUACGAUGAGUGAUUUGAUAUUAUGUCAUAAUUAUUUCAUGUGUCAUUAAAUGUGCAAGAACAUCCUCUAAAGUGAUAAGUUAUGUGCGAGUAGUCAAACUUGUAAUAAAAGCUUCAUAACUUGACCCUAGUCCUCUGAGUACUAUGAUAAUUAGUUCUUGAUCAUUUAUUGGGUUACCAAUAAUAGAAAAUUAAUCUGUAAUGAUCUUGAUAGAUUAAACAUAUUCUUGAAUAGAAGUUGUACCACAUUGUGAGGCAUGUAAUUUGGUAUGUAAUUAUAAAAUUUUAGAUCUAGAGCAAGAGAAGAAUUCUCUAACUAAUGAAUCUCAUACUUUAGAAAUAUUAUUUCCAUGUAUUAAUAGAAAGAUGGACUCUAUAAGAGAUGAUAAAAUCUAUGAAACGACAAUCUGAUUAUUUCAUUUUCAUAUAAGAAAUUCAGGAUUUGGGUGUGAGACCUUAUUUUCAUCAAUGAUAGUUACUGAUGGAGGUGGAGUAGAACCUUCAACCAUGGAGAUGAAUUCAUGACUCUUCAAGAGUGGAAGAAAUUAAGUCUUCACAAUAGGUAUGUAUUUCUAAGAUAACUUCAACAAAAAAAAGGGUAGGACAUUUGGUGGUGCUGUCAUCAAUCUAGAUGUUGUUUAGUAGCUUGGCUUUGAUACCAAGAAAGGAAUAUACUGAUAGUAAUGAGAGAAGAGAAUGAUAAGAAUGAAUUAGAAGGAUAAUGUCCUUUUAAGCCUUAAAUGAUAUAUAAGUUUGUGUGUUACAAGUAUUGUUAGGAGUGUCCUUUCAUAGAGCUAGAGAUAACUCCUAAAAUUCUUAGAGCUUAAGGUGAGAAGGUGAGGAGGAGAACAGUCCAUCAAUGGAUCUCCACUUAAUAGGAGAAGGUGAAGGGUUCAUGUCUCUAAAGGGAUGAGUCAUAAAUGGACCAUUCCUUAUUGUGGGGAGGUGAAUUGCUCCCUUGGUCAUAGAUGAGGAGCUAACUAGAUUUGAUAACAGUUUUGAAGUCUUGGUCAUCUAAUUGCCUCAAAGUUAGGAUGUUAGAGCAUAAUUUAGGAAUAUAUAAAAUAUUCUUUAAAGUCAUACAUAUCACUUAUGGUAUUUGACAAUCAUAUCACCUCUGCCAUAGAUAUCAACUUAUGAACCAUCUCCAAAUUUGACAUUCUCAUUAAUAAAUUUAACAAGGUCUUGAAAUAACUCAUUUUUUCAAGUCAUGUGACUACUUGCACUAGUGUCUAAGUUCCAUAGAUCUUCAUCUAGUGUCUCAUCACCAUUGCCUUGAAAAAAUACCUCAUCUUCAAUUGCCAUCAACAAGGUUGAUUAUGGCUUUUCUUCGGUAUCAACUAGAUUCGCCUUCUCAUCCUUUUUUCCCUUGCAACAUUUUGAAGUAAAAUGUCUAUAUUUCUAACAAUUAAAACACUUUAUCUUAUACUUAUCUCAGAACUUAUCAACUCCUUCCCUUCUUUGCCCGCCAUUGCUUCAGCCAUGACCAUCACUCUGUCCAUGGCCACAUCCAUAGUCACAUCCUUGAGAGCUACCUCAAUCUUCCUUUGUCUUGUGUGCUUCACGAGCAAAAAGAACUUCUCCCUUUUUAUUUGUUGAUCUCAAAGCUUGUCUUUGUAGAUCUUUAAAGAUCCAAUAGCCUCCAACAUCAUGACAUCAAAAUCUACAAAUUGCUCUAUUGAAGAGGUAAUAGAGUCAAACUUUGUUAGGGCUGCUUGCAAAAACUUUACAAUAACUUUGUCCUCUUAUAGCCACUCUCCUAAGCUGUGUAUUUGAGUAACAACUUAGAAGAGUUUUCCUACAAAGUCAGUGAAAAAUUCUUCAUCUCUCAUAGUAAGAGUUUCAUAAUCUCACUUCAAGCCUUGUAACCUUACUUUUUUGACCCAAGCAAUGUCCAUGUUCAUAGUGUGAAGUAUCUCCCAUAUUUCUUUCGUUGAUUUCUUGAUGUCCAAUUGUGUUAGGACAUCUUCAGUGACCACUCUAAAAUCACUGAGAGAGUUUAGCAAUAUCUUUUUUCUUCACCACUGCACCUUAAAUUGCAUCCCACAAAUUGUUUGCCUUGAAGAAAACUUAUAUCAUCAUAGAUCAAAGAGGAUAAUUAUUAAUAGGGAUUUUGAGCAACACCCUCCCACCAAGGUAGCAAGGGAGGAGCCCAUUUCAACCCAUUUUCAACAAGGCCCAAAGGAGGAUCAAGGCAUAGACUUGGGCCUAGAUAAGGCCUAUUCUCAAGGGGAAGGGUUGUGUUUCUAUAAAGGGGUGUUUCAUCAACCACCAUCCUCUCUCACAAAGACUACCUAAGCACCACUUAGAAAUUUGAUACUUUUUGACCAAGGCAUUGAUAAAAAAGUAUCAAGAAAAGGUCAAGAUGUGAAGGACAACCUCUAACCAAUCCUAGAGAAGUCAAGCCAACCAAAGGGGUCAACCAGGAGGUACUAAGCACCUCUUUGCUAUAUAUACCUUCUCUCUCUUAUAAUCACCUCUAAGAACUUUCUAUAAAAAGGGUGCUUGUGUAUUUUAAGGGGAAGAAGCUUAUGAAUGAGUUAUUUUGAAGUUAUAUCUUCAAAAAUUCACCCUUAGUCAAAUGGAGGUUGUGAGGAUCAACGGUCUGUAAGGAGAGGCUGUGAGGGUCAACCGCCCAACUUGGGGGAAGCCGUGAGGGUCAUCAUCACCACAUCACUUCCGACCAUUUCACCUUUCUUAUCUUGUCACACUAUCAUUCACUACAUUUUGAAGUCAUUGAAAUCAAUUUCAUGGUCAGUAAGUCAACUCAAGAGGUACGCGAUGACUUAUAUAUUUUGGUGAAAUCUGAUUUUAUCUUAAUACUUCUAUUGUUCUAUUACCUAAGAGUGAUCUCAAACCUUAGAAUAGAUUUGAUCUGACUCAAUUAAGUUUGGUCAAACCUAGAUCAAAUGAUGACUUACAAUCUUAUAAUCUUAAGAUGUAGGAAUUCGAUCUAUCUUUAGAUUUCUCUCUAAAACAUCAAGUAAAAUCUUGAGAACCUGAAAUUAAAAGUUAUUAUCUUAUUUGUUCAUAUCUUAAUUUGGGUUUUCUCAUAAUCAUCGCACAUCAAAUUAUUUUUGGAGAGCAUAGGAAGGUAGAUAGGUAGAGAUGACUCACAUGUCACUCUUGUCAUCUUGAUAGUCGUCCUAGCUCCAUCUAUCGGAGGCCGGCUAUCCAUCAUUGAGGCUGCCUUCAAUUACAUUGCCAUUGCUUUUUUAAUUCUUGGAUUAGAAAGAACCUACUUUGAUACCAAAUGUUGGUAAUCAAAUUCAGGUUGUGUGCAACUAUUGAAAAGAUUGUAGAGAGAGAGAACUUAAUAGAAUGAAAAGAACAUUAAGAAACUUCUUAUUACUCUUUAAUCAAGGAGACUAUACACCUUUUUAUAAAGUAUGGCAUGAUGAAACUUGGCAUACAUGAAUUUGCCAUUAAUCUGGAAAAUGACGAACACCUGAUGAUCUUUCUAAUCUUUUCUUUUAUUUGAUCCUCAUAAUCAAAACUUCUUUCUUAUGGAUGGAGUGUCUCUAUACGAUUUGUAUUAUCUAGUUGUGUUAAAACCCUCAAAUAAGCUUUAUAUAAUACACUCCUUUAUCAUAUUAUGAUUUUGCCUAUGAUAACUCAUUAUAUCACAAAUUAUUUAUAAUUAUAUUAAUAUUCAAUUUGAUUAUUAAAGUCACCAUAAUGAAAUUUGACUCCAACAAUCUCCGACUUGACUUUAUCUAAUCUUCUUUAAAUUGGAUAAUCAUGUGGACUGAGCACAACCUUAAUAUUUAUAAAUAAUAUCUUCAUUUUGAUCAUAAUAUAUCUCAAAAGUACUAUUCAUGACAAUAAUACAAUGUUAAGGAUGUAUGUCCUUUAUAUGCACUAAGAUACUCAUGAUCAAUAUUAAAACCAAACAUCUAUGUAAUAUUUAAAGAAUGUUUUAUGAAUGCACUCACAAUGUCAUGACAAAAUAAAUCAUGUUUUUCUCCCAUUUAUCUAACAAUAAAUGAUAAAUGAUAGUUCAUAAAGAACUAGCAUAUAAAUAUCAGAUGUGUGAUAUCCAUAUUACAUUAGUAUCUAAAUAUAUGUUAUAUCUUCUUGAAAAUUGAUCAAUCCCAUCUUACAAAUAAGUCCACUACAGGUACUUAGUGGAAGUGACUUCGUAAGAGGAUUAGUUAAUAUAUAGUCAACUUUAAUUUGAUCAAUUGACACUAAUUGAUCUCUAAUUCUCUCUUUCAUAACCAAGAACUGAAUCUCUAUGUGCUUACAAGUUGAUGCAAGAUAAAUUGGUAAUCUCCACCUUGACAGCAAAGUACCGGGGGGAGGAGAACAAUGUGCAAGGGAAUGAUUCUUAUAACCCAUGCUUAAUGCUGUCCUUGGGGGGUAUAGCAAGUGAAUGUUGACUCAACUAGGUGCAAGCAGGAGCUGAGGAGCAGGGGGACCGGCGACACAUCGUGUCGGGCAUUGCCAAAAUGCUAGAGUAGGGUGAGGUUCCUCCACUUCCUCUUCUGGGCGGCUAGGGCCCAACAUCACAAACAUGGCUGGGCAGUAGAUGCUCAAUGACCAAGUGACAACCCUGGUGCACACGUCAAAACAGCACGAUGGCGAAGUCUAUCUCAUCCCAACCUGACUUGGCCCGACGGCAGUGGAGCAAGUGUGAGAAGGUACUGAGAAUAGUAAAUGACUCCGGGGUUGUAGACUAACUUGUAGGCCGAGGCCCAGUGGCGGAGUGGGGUUCUCAUGCAUGGCGGGGUCGUCAGCAGCGUGACGACGUGUGCACUAGUGAUGGUGAAUAGAAUCACAGGCAAGUGCAUGACUUGCAUGUAGCUUUGCACGCAAGGGGGGCACUAAGGUGGGUACCAGACACACACAUGAUGAGCCGUGGCAUUCGAGUGCACAGUAGUCAUGCUAUGUGAACGCCUAGUUGGUCUAGGGGAAGGGGCAUUGCAAGACGACCCCGAGGUUGCAUCGGUGAGCGUUCCAAGUCAGGCGUGGUGGUAGACCUCGUGAAGCAGGCAUGAGGCGCACAACAAGCAUGCAGUGCGGGCACAUAGGCUCGACAUAGUUCAACGUCGAGUGCGGAGCGGAGCGUGAGGCAGACGCUCGACUUGGGCACUCGAUGGGCAGGCACUCAAGGUGGGCGCACUGGCGGUGGUGCGUCAAGGCUGGUGGCUCCACAGUGACAGCGAGGGUCGGCCAGCACCCUAUUUCCCCACAAACUCCCUCUCUUCCUCUCUUUAAGGUUUCUAAAACAAAAGUACACGUUCUUCUUCAAAAGGGGGGUGGCUCUCCACUCUCUUAUAUAGAGGCCCACAUGGGCUGAGGGUGGAGGGCCACGCUUGAGGUUCAAGGCACCAAACCCCCAAAAAAGGAACACAUGUAGCAUCCAGGAUAAACCCUCUAUUCUGAUUGGGCCUAAAUGUUAGUGGCCCAAGAGAAGAGAGGUGAGGGGAAGAGAAGGACGCCUACUUCUCCAAUUGGGCCUGAACACAUAUGGCCCAAGGAGAAGGGAGAGAGGAGGGGGGGGGGGUGAGAAAUAGAGGAAAACAAAAGAAACCAAAGGGGAAUGGGCUUUUCCCUGUCCCCGCCAUGGACCUUAGGGGUGGGAGACCCCCACGCAUGGCAGAGCUGAAGCCGAUGUAGUUUGUGGACCUAGGCAGUGUAGCAGAACCCUAGGUCCUUUGUUUUUUAUUGCGCCUCUUAUUUAGUUGAAUGUGUGAAGGCAGGAUCUCCUUUGUCACUUGCAGCAUGUGUAGUGGUGGUGACGGAUCCUGUUCUCCACCACAAGUACUCGAGCUCUUAUUUUUAUUAGAAAAUUUGACAAUAACUUUAUUAUCACAAUAUAAGUUUCUAUAUAGAAUCCACAACUCUCAAUUGUGCAAUGAAGUGCUUCAUCUAUAUAACUUUCAAAGAUGUAUAAAAGUAAGUUAUAUAAUUAAUUUCCAUUGUAGAUGUUGCAACUAUCUUCUACUUAGUAUUAGACCAUGAGAUAAAUCCUCUAGUAAGAACACAUAGUCCGAAGUUGAUCUUUAUAUGUUUGAACAUUUAGCAAAGUCUAAGUUAGAGUAUUUAAUGACCUCCAAUUGAUCCGUUCGCCUAUAUGUGAACAUCACAUCUUUGGUUCCUUAAAGAUAUUACAAAAACUUCUUCACAAUUUGUCAAUACAUAAAGCUAGGGUCACUUUCAUAUCUUCUGAGAUAUAUAGUAACAAAUGAUAAGUUCAAAUGGGUAUAUGUUCGAAGAUAAUUGAGAGAUCCAGCUACAACAUCAUAUAAUUUUUCUCUCAUUGUAAGCCUCUUUGCAUCUAAAAGAGGUCCUUGCAAUUUUCUUAGUUUAUCACCUUUAAUAGUAUGUGUUUUAUUAGAAGAUUAAUUUUUUCAUCGAAAACCUUUUCAACACAUUUGAAAUAUAAGACUAAGACAACCCAAAUAUGCCCCUAAGGCCUCUUCUUAUGAAUCUCUAUACGAAUUAUGUAAUUUACUUCACUUAUGUCUUUUAUAUCAAAGUUGUUUGAUAGAAAAUCUUUCAUCUUAUUUAAUAAACUAAGGUUUUAACUAGUAAGUAAAAUAUCAUCUACAUACAACACAAGUAAUAUCUAUUUAUUCUCACUUUCCUUCAAAAUAUAUGCAUUUAUUAACUAUAUUUUUCUUAAACGCAAAGGACAUGAUAACUUCAUUAAAUUUGAAGUCCCGUUACCUAAAAGCUUGCUUGAGUUUGUAGAUAAAUUUAUUUAACUUGAAAAAUCAUAUAUUUGAUGUAACCCUAAGUCAUUAUUAGAAUCAUCAUUCAAUUUUAAUAAUUUAUAAAACUAGAUUCACCAAAAAUAAUAUUAAAUGAAUAUAGUGGUGAGUUAGGUCGUCUCCUCAAGAAAAGCUUUUAGAAAUCUUCUUAUUCUCUUAUUAAUGCAUUAUGAAUUUGAUAUUUAAUGUAAUGCAAGAAAUAAAAUGGUAAAUAAAUGUAAUGUGAAUCUAAAAUUCUAAUAAAAUGAAAUAUACUUUAGAAUGAUGAAAAUAGAAAAUAAAUAAGUAAAAAAAAAUUAAAACUAAGAAAAUAAAUUUAUUUCACAGAUCAAACAAGAAAAUAAUGAAAAAUUUAUUAAAAAUCAAACUUAUAACCCUUAGAAUGCAUGGCUUGAUGUCGACCUCUAGAUAACACUUCUCAAUCUUGCAUCCAAUUCAACAAAAUGGAUUUAAGGUGAAAAGGCUAGAGGAGAACAAUCAAAAAUCAACAAAGCAUAUCUUGGAACUCUAUUUUCGCAUAAAAAAAAGAACAAUUAUUUUCUCUCAAAAACAACUCAAGAACAACUCCAAAAAAAGGAUCCCUUUCUCUCUUCUCUUCCUCCUUUUGUUCCCCAGAUCUACAAAUUGCAUUUUUCGUUUUAACUUCCUAUUUUCUGCCAUAUUUUUUCAAUUUUUCUCCGAUUUUUCUAACAUUUUUCUCUUUUCUCACAUGGCAAUAACUGAUAUUGUCUAUUUUACCAGAUUAUAACCAAUAUUUACAAAGAUACCAUUAUGCCGCACAAGAGAAUAAUCGAUAUUGUCUAUUUUACUAGACAAUAAUCGAUAUUUGUCAACAUGUCUUCCACCACGUGGCUCGAUGAAGAUCAUUGGAUUCUCACACCGUUAUUUUACUUUGAAAGGGGAUGACGUGGCUUCUCAAUCACCGUUAGAUCUAUUUGAGCUCUCACUACUUUUUUGCGUGCUUUAUCGGGAUUCAUGUGGGCACCUGACCACGUGCUAAUGGAUAGAGAUGUGGUCGCUUCUGGUGUGUCAGAUCUAAUGGCGGAUGUCAUUAGAUUUGGCACUACUUUUCGUGCGAUGGUGGGUGGUGAUGUGGCAGCUUUAGGAUCAUCAGAUCUUUGCCGCAGCUGCUGCUCUGCCGUUAGAUCUGAAAACGGUAAGAAGAGACAUUUAGUCCCAUAUCGGAAGUAUAAAAAAUAUAGAGUUCUAUAUAUUUAUCAAUGUCCCCCAUUAAAAACAUACACCUCCUAAAAGGAUGACCGGACUUGACUACCAGCUCCCAAGGAUGAUCAAGAUUGAGACUCGGCUCCCAGUAGGCCUUGGAGGUGAUCUAUUCGGCCCAAACCCAUGAUUCAGAUUCGUGACCCGAUUUACACGGGUCGCGAGGUGGUGUGCCCCUUGGGCCCGCUCCUAGACGUAGUGUGGCCUCUAGCCUACGUCGGGCCCAUUAGGUAGUGUGCCUCUGGUCCGCUAACGGUGCGUCCAUUUUAUCUUUUCAUAUCUUCAAUUGAUAUUUAUUUUAAUGCCUAAAAAUUCAGAAAAAUUGCAGAAAAUGUAUUUUAGUUAAUCAUAAAAAAUUAGCACAACAGAAUUUCAUUUAAAAUAAACUAAAUGAAAAUUAAGCUUCAACACAUGAAAUAAAUUUUCAUCAAUUUUCUUUUCAUUCAUAAAAUAUCAAUUUAAAUCAAGAUUUAAGGAGGUUUAUCAAAAUGAAAAGUAAAAUAAUUCUCAAAUAUACAUUAUUCUCUCUGAUUUAGUAACACAUUAAUAUGCAAUUUUCACAAGUUAUCAAUAUUCUUUACCUUUAAUGUUAAAUCCUUGAGCUUGUUGUAUGUACAUUUCUUUUUUAAUUCGCCAUUUAAGAAAUUUUUUUUACAUCUAUUUAAUGUAGCUCUAAAUUAAAAUGAACUAUUAAGACCAUGACUAAUCUUAAUGAAUUUUUAGAGUAAAUUAGAGCAUAAGUUUCAUAAUAGUUAAUGCAUUCUUUUUAUGUAAAAUUCUUUGUUAUAAGUUUGGCUUUAUAUUGUUCAAUGAUGCCAUCGGGAUUUAAUUUGGUCUUAUAGACCUUUUUACAACAAAUAAACUUCUUUCUCAAAGGUAAGUCCACGAUGUACCAUACUUGAUUGCAAUCUAUGGGUACAAGCUCAUAUUUCAUAGCUUGUAACUAGUGAUUAUAGUUCACACAAUUUAUAACCUGUGAAAAUGUAACGGGAUCAUGUACCCAUUGACCCAUUUCUUCACCUAAGAGAUAUAUCACAUUGUUAGAUGAAAUAAUUGAUUUUCUUUGCCUCUUGAUCAUUUUAAAUCUUGAAUAGAUGGGUCUAUAGUAAGCUCAAAUGAUCGUUCAUGUGGUUAUUCUUGAUUAGGUAUAUUUGUCUCUUCAUUGUUGUCCAAAAUUGAAACAACUUAGGGUAAAUAAACCUUAGUCUCCAAAAUAUGAUAAAUAUUAUUGCAUUGACUAGAAAUCUAUUGAGGUACAAUAACAUCUUCUACGACUUCUUAAGAAUAAAAUCCAUAAAGAUACUUUCACUAACAUAAACAUCUUCUAAAAAGAUAACUCUAUCAGUUUUAACAACUCUUGUGGUAUUUGUACGAUAAUAAAAUCUAUAUUGUCUCGAUCUCUCUAGAUAGUCAAUGAAGUAGUCACUAAUUAUCCUUGAAUCUAGAGAUUUCUCAUGUGGAUUGUAAAGUUUAGCUUCAAUUAGAUAAUCUCAUAUGUGCAUAUAACAUAAAGAGAGUUUUCUAUUAGUCCAUAACUCGUAAAGAGUUUUCUGUGUGGACUUUGUUAGAACCCUAUUUAGAAUAUAUAAAUUUAUCUUUCAAACUUCACUCCACAUUGAGAUUAGCAGAGUUAAAUAACUCAUCAUAGCUUUGAUUAUUUCUUUAAGAAUUAUAUUUCAUCUUUCUGCAACCCUAUUUAUGUUAAGUUUUCCUAGUAUUAUGUAUAAAGACAUUAUACCAUGCUCCCUAAGAAACAAUAUAAAUGGUCAUAUCAUUUGUCCUUUGUUGGUGUGUUUGUUAUAGUAUUUGCCAAAUGUAUUUGAUUUGACUAUCUUGAUAAGUUUUCCUAAUUGUUUCUCUACUUUUUUCUUAAAAUCUUUGAACAUGUCAAAGACUUUAAAUUUAUCAUGAUGAGGUAAAGAUAUAUAAACCUUGAGUAGUCAUCGAUAAAGGUUAAGAAAUAUUAUUGGCCUAUAAAAUAUAGACAAUAGAGUCCACAUACAUCUGUAUGAAUCAAAUCUAAUGUUUCUUUACAUUUAUGAUAUUUUUCCUAAAUGUGUUGGUUGUUUUUGUCUUGAUACAAUCAACAUAGGUAUCGAGAUCUGUGAAAUCUAACUAUCACAAAAAACAUUCUUUCACUAAUAUGUCCACCCUCUUUUGGGACAUGUUCCAAUUUUCUAUGCCACAAAAUUAUAGAGUUAUCAUUAGCUCUAUUCAUUUUAUUAGAGCAAACUAAAAAAAUAUUUUCAGAAAUAUUAAGAUUAAAUAAUCUAUCAAUUACAUCAGUCCUAAUAGGAAUAUUUCAUUUAGUUAAAGACAUGACUAAUGCAUCCAAACUUACAUGAUAAUUGUCUUUAACUAAUUUGAUAACAAAUAUCAAAUUUUGUUGAAAUAAUGAAAUAUAAAAAUAAUUUUUCAAAAGUAAAGUUUAUCAAGACUCCAAGGUGAUUCUAUAAUCAUCCACUUACUUUACGUGUGAGCACAUUCGAUUUCUCGAGACGACAUAUAGUUUACACUCAGUUGGAGGCCACAUUAUUAGAAACCCCUACAAUGUGGUUGAAAUUUGCACAAUUACACUUGAGUCAAUCUACCAACUCAAAUUAGAAACAUAAGUUAGAUUUGAUUCAUAACUUGUGACAUAAAUCUCAUUACCUAAAUUCUACUUAAUUAAACAUUUCUUGUGCUUUAGGUAUUCUUUUUUCAAAUGACCAUAUUUUCUUACAAAAGAAAUACUUAACUCUAAAGAUAGAGCUUUUAGCUAGACCUAAUUCGUGCUUCUUAGUUGAAGAUUUCUUGAUCAUCUUGCCCUUUAAUACAUGCUUCCUUGAUCUAUGAGUUACCAUAUUCAUGGUGUUCAUAUUGUCCAAUUGAUUAGCAACUUACCUUUCUUCUUUUUGAACACACUUGGUCAUGAGAUCAUUCAUUGACCAUUCAUCCUUAUGUGCAUUGUAAGAAACUUUAAAAAGGUCAUAUUCAACUAGUAGUGUCUGUAAGAUGUAAUAAACUAAAAAGGUCUUAUGAAUAGUAAUCUUCAGAUCAUUCAAUUUUGAUACAAUGUCACACAUGCUUAAGAUAUACUCUCAUAUAUUUCUUUUGUUUGUAUAAUGCAUGAAAGUAAACUUCUAAAUCAAGACACUUACUUUGACUUUGUCACACCUAAUAAAUUAUUGUUCAAUCAUUUUCAUGUAAAUGGUUGCUAGAGUGUUAGAAGUCACAUGAUCUCUGAUAUCUCUAGGCAUACGUUGUGACAUGAAUGAUUAGGACAAUCUAUUAGAUCUCUCUCAUUUCUUAUGAAAAGUCUUUGCAUUCACAUUACUUUCAACCAGAAGUGUUGUAAGAGUAGGCAUUCGAAAGUGAAAGAUCUAGAGGCUAGACAAAAUACCAAGAGGGGGGGUGAAUUGAUAUUUUAGAAAUCUCAGAUUUUCUUUCCAUAUGCUAAAUGUGUCAACACACGUGUUAACACAGCUCUGUGUGAUUAUAUACAGAAAGAAUUACUUUCUCUCUCUUCCAACAGGAUCUCACUAUGAAGCAAGAGCUUUUUAUACUAAUUCGCCCCUCACCUAGCUACUUCUAGUCCCAGAAGAUUCUUCUUACUAGUAUUCUACUAUUUUUCUUGAAAAUACACAUUGAUUUUAACGGGAUUAGUUGUUUAAUACCUCAAAAGUUUAACCUCCACAAAAAUUCAGCCCCUUCCAGGCCAAAUAGGACUUAGAGCACCUCUUGCCUUUGCCCAAACUCACUCUUCACUCACCACCUAGAUACCUUAAGGCUUGAUGAAGAGCUUCCUCGAAAGAUUCAAGCUUUAUCUUGAUCAUCAAUCAUUGAUGAAAAAAGAUGAUGUAGUCUGCUCGUAGUUGAUACUCGGUGGUGAUGAAUCUUGAUCGUGAGAGAGAUAGCUCGUUGUAGAUCAAAGUAGAAUAGUUGUUUUUGAUCUCCCUUGCUUUCUUUACUUGUAAGGCAUCGUCUUCUAACAAAUUUCUACAUUUUGCUCGAGAGACAAAUUCGAAAAGUUAAUUCAAACAUUUACUAUUUUCCAGAAUGCGUGGCAAUGACCUCUGACUAUUACGAAUUCAAUAUCUUUCUAUUCUCUGAUCCAUUCGAUUUGAAAUUUGAACUGAAGAUUCUUCUCUCAUAGAUGUUUUUUGUUGACUUCAUCUUUAGAUUCGAACAUUAAGAUAAUCGUUUUCUCUACGUAAGUAGUUGAUGUGUCAACAUUUAGAUUUCUAGUUUGAGACUCACAAGAGCUCAUUUGAUAUUUUGAACCUUUUUGUUUUUCUUUUAAGAAUGCACAUGAUUAAUAAAUAAUAGCUGCACUUAAAUGAUUAAAUAAAUAUAACUAUAUGAAUUAAAAACAUAACCAUUAUUUAUCUAUUAAAUAUUUGUUUUUCAACAAAUAUUUAUCUAUGUGACACUUCACCUCUUCAUCAUUUCACUUAAUCUCAAGGUUAGUCAUAAAGUCAUAAGAUGAAUAAUAUCAACCAUGAAUUAUAUAUUUUCUCAUAUAUUUUGUAAUAUCGAAAUCUAUGCCCAAGGGCAUCAACAAAAAGUAUAGUUCUAAAUCCGUUAGGCCCAAUGAAAAAAGUAAAGCUUCUUCUAUUGUAAAAAGUUUGUGUCAUUCAAUAUUGUUACCUUAACCCCUCUAUGUGAUGCAAAUAAACAACUCACAUGAAAUAACCUUUAUAUUUAAUAAUCGUACCAUUAUAACUCUACAUAAGCAGAUGAAAUAAUAUACUAUUAGUUAAAUGAACAUGAAACUAAUUACACAUACAUUAAAGUCUAUGAAGUAUAGUAUUGUUGGGUACUUAAAUUUUCUAUAUUUAAUAUGUAAAUAUAAUCAUUUCACCCAUUUAGAUAUAAGCAUAACAAUCCCACAUUGUUGAGUAAUGUUAAUUUCAUUUAUUUAAAUGUAGGUUGAAUCCCAUUUGGGUUAGAUUUAAAAUCUACUUGAUAUAAUUAAUGCAAAUAAUUGUUCUUAAUUGGUGUCACAUUGGUGAAGAGCCCAAGUUCUCCAAGUUAAAUGAAUAAGUACAUGGCAUUCAAUAUAUUUUUAUAAUUGGAUUGAACAAAUUAAUCUUCUACCUUGAUAGUCCAAUGUAUAUUGUAUGCCAUUCAUCUAAUUAUUAUCUACAAUUUAAAACUACAAAUAGCAUGGAUAUAGUUAAUAAAUUAGAACACUGAAAUAACAAUACAAUAAUAAUGAACACAAAAUAAUAAAUAAAACACAUGUUGUUAAGGUUGAUAAGUGACAACUACAAUACUCAAAACUCACCAGAGACCUCUGCUAGGGUACUCCCUAGGUUGACUAUGUAACCCAACUAUAUUGUAUUGUAGUGUUCCACCUCACCACAAUCGCAGGGGAGGGGGAUGUAUAGCCACUACCCCACAAUGAUCAAGGAGGCAUUCAUUGUGCUAUUCAUAGAGGCGAUCUGCAGCUAGGUCACUAAAUUGCCGAAGAUCUCUUGAGCAAUUGCAUGGAUGGAGUCACCGUUCUUCACAGCAUAGUCCAACUACCUGUCUGAGAUGCUAGUCCCAUUACAAUAGGCACAUGUGAAGGGGAUCUAGAGGGUGGUGUUGGGGGGGACCUUAGCUGUGGUCUAGAUGGUUUCGUCAAGGUUGUUGGCUCCAUAAAGAUCAUAGAUUAAACACACCUUGAAGAGGCCUCUAAUGGCCUUGUAGGUGGUCUCCCUUGGGGAUACGUACCUAGCCAAGGACAUGGAGGUGUACCAUAAUUUAGGAGGUCGUGCAGCACAAGUAGAGAUAAGGAGGAAGUGGGAGAACAAUGAGGGGGGAAGAACCACUAGGCCAUUGGAGUAUAUCAUCCUUGUCUUCAUUGCAUUUGUCACUUGUUCUUGUCAAAGUACUAGUUUCUCUUGUUAACCUUUUAUGUUUGUCUCCAAGAUGUUAGAAGCUUUGAAGAAGCAAUCGAGAUUCACAAGAGGACGUCACCACCCCUCUUUGUCUCUUGGUAUAUAUUUAUAUAUAUAUGUCUUUUAGUACUCGCAUGAUUCUCACACUCCUCUCUCUCUCUCUCUCUCUCUCUCACUCUCACUCACUCACUCUUAAGAUACACGCAUAUGAGUUGGUUUAUGUGAUUUGUUGAUAAGAUGAAGAGAGGUAAAGGAGAAGCUAUUUAGUACCCAUUAUCGGAUGUCAUGUGAGAAGAGAAUUUGGUCACCAGUUGGUCUAUCAUCCAAGGAACAUCAUCCACGGCAGUUGACAAAUCAAAACAUUUACAAAGGUGAUUGUGGAAUGCUGGUCAAUGCCACUACUAUAAAUAAAGAUUCUUCUAUCGCAAGUUAAUCGUUGAUGUGUCUAUCAUUGGUCAAAAUUCUAUGAACAUACUUGAGCCUCAGCAUGAUUCAUCCAACCUCUCUCUCUCUCUCCCCUUUCUUUGAUCUAUAUGCAUGUGUGGAUAUUCCAUAAUGAACCAUGUAGGCAUCUGCCUCUCCCUUUCUAUCGAUAUACUUCCAUCCCCUCCUACCUACGGAGCAAACGAGAAGCAAGUUGUCUACUACUUAGGGGGUGCAUCGAGGACUUGGCCCGUGAGCAGAUUCUUGGGGUUGGAUAUGUUGUUGGGGUUGAUAAGUGUGCUUGUGAUGCCUAGAACUCUCUAGAGACCUCUGCCAGGGUACUCGCCUACUUCACUAUGUGAGCCAAGUGCACUUGAUUGCUGUUGAAGGGGAGGGGGAUAAAAAGCUUCCACCCCUUGUUGAUUAGAGAGGCAUUUACUAUGCGGUUUGUGGUGAUGAUCUACUGAUAGGUCACCAACCUGUCAAAGAUCUCCUAGGUGAUCACCUCGAGGGAGUCAUCAUUCUUCACAUCCACAACUAGUUGCUAGUCAGAUACACUAGCCACUUUACUAUAUGUGCAAGUGGAGGAUCAGAUUGUGAUAUUAGCGGGGACCUUGGUUGAUGCGGAGCGGAUGUGAAAAGGAUUAAAUAGUUUAAGAAAACCACUUGGUGUAGGAUGCUCAAAGAUUUUAUAAAUUAGAAAAUAUUUAAUACCACAAUUUAAUAAUCAACUAAUUAUGUAAAAAAUGGCUAUCCUAUGAUCUCUUAGGUGACUAUAGCAAGAAAGUAUAUUAAAUGAACAAAUGAAAUAGAGAAAUAGGAAGAUAUACUUGAACCUUGAAAAUAAGAUUUGACCUGACUGAUAUGUUUGACCUUUGACUAUUGACCAUUCACUUGUCCUAGUUGACUGUUGACUAUCAAUGACUAAGUCGUCAACUACAGCAGCUUGCAGCUAAGGGGUGGACGUGACUUGGCUUAGGUGGCUGGAUGGUUCUUGCCAAAUGGUUUGGAUUGCAGCUGGCUAAAAGGGAUAAGUGUUGGUGGGCUGGUGGAAGUGGGCCAGAUGACGUUAGGCCCACAAUUGGGGAUUAAACCCUAGCCAUAGAAGGGGAUGGUAUUCAACAACAGAGAGAGGGGAGGAGGGUGGAGGUAGUGCUGAUGGGAGGUGAGGGUGAAGGUCGGUGGCUAGGUGGUGGCGAGGUGGUGGUUGGCAGUGGCGUCGGCAAUAUGACAAGGUUGGCAUUGGUGGAAAAUGAAGGGGGGAUGGUGGCAAAUAGGUAGUAGCUGCUAGAGGGGAAUGUCGACAGUGGAGAGGGCAAUGGAUAGGCAGCAGCAGUUGAAGGGAGGGUGAUGACAGCUGUGACAGCAAGUGAUGGCAGUGCAAGUGGUGGUGGCUGAUGGUGAUAGUAGAAAGGAAAGGGAUGGGAAAGUGAUGGGAAUUGAAGUGAACCGGCAUCUCCUUAUUUGCUACACAUUGGCCCAAGCCCAUUAAGGAGUAACCGUCUUCCAUGAAACUUUUUUCUUUUCUAUUCUCUUGGAGGUUAUAAAUAACCUCGUGAUAACCUAAAGAAUAUACAGAGAAUAUAAGAAUAAAAUAUUGAGGGUUAUCUCUUAUCACUCUGCAAAGAGAGGCCGUGAGGGUCAUCACUCCGUAAGGAGAGGUCGUGAGGGUCAAAUCACUCUGCAAGGAGAGGCCAUGAGGGUCAACUAUCCAUCACCACCAACACCAACUAUUGCCACCACCGCUUACAUUCACUACUAGUCCGCAACCAUCUGCCACCAGUUUCCACUAACAUUUGUCGUCUGUCAUUGAUGUCCACCGUUAUCUAUUGUUGUUGCCUGCCGCCAUCCAUCCUUGUCAUCUGCCACUGCCAUUGUCGCCAUCUCCACCUUCCAUCCUUCCUCAUCCAUCAUACUCCACCAUCACCAUUUUCUGCCACUGCCUCCACCAUUGUCCCAACCUUUGCCCUGUCCAUUGCUGCCACUGCCUCGGCUCCCUCUACUUGCACAUUCCGUUCGUGCCUCCCCUCAUUUGUUUGCCCAACAUUUAGGGUACAAAAAAGCCCUAAAUUGUGUUAUUCAAGACUACUGGACUAGACCAGUCCACUUCAAUCCAACCCAGCCACUCAACACCUUCCCCCCACUGGAACUAGUUUGCAUAAGUCAAUGGUCAACACAAGUAAAUAGUCAACAAAAUGGUCAACAGUCAACAAGUGGGGUCCAGCUUCAACUGGCACCCCUCUUCUAGUCAAUCACCUAACUUGGUGACAAGGUUAUCUCUAAACCUUUUAUUUCCAUUAAUAGAAUAUCUUGUUCACUUAGUAUUUUGUCGUACAAAAUUGUUGUGUGAACCAUAGAUAGAUUUAUUCAUUUUGUGAUUGGUGGUUAGUGAGGAGUGAUAACUUACUUGAUUUGUAGCUAAUCAAUUUAUUGACUAUGGAGCACCCUAAUCAUUCAUGAUUUCUUAAUCGUGAUGAUCCAGUUGAUUUCAAUCUUGGGGGAUUUCACUUGAUCUUACCCCAGUGAACCUUCUUUAGUUUGUAGAUCUUUAGUAGAGUCAAGUCUAUGUCUUGUCUAGGGUAAUAUAGUCUUUUCAUCAUCACAUCUUGCAUAAGGAAGAGUGCUCUAGACAAGGAGUAGCGGGGUCCUCCAAUCAACCCAAGCCAGGGGAAUGGGAUCUUGCAAGCAAGUAAGGUAAGGAACUAAUCCUUAAAACCUUAUUUAUCAUCCUCCCCAAAUCAAAGGUCUGAAGGCUGAUUUUUAAGUCUCUCUUUAAUGAGACAACAAAAUCUUAGGCUUGAUUAACUUAGUAAUAAGUGAAUCCUUCCGUUUCAGGACGUUUGUUGUGGUGCCAAGGACAACAAGUCACUAAAUCAUGGGUGCAAUCAUCACCUUCGUUGAUCCUUCCUUCGUUUAGAGCGGCUUCAAAAUCAUUGUUCAAGGGAUGGUUGGGGUGUGAGGCAUUGUUGGUUGAGGUUGGGGUGGUUUUGUUGAGGCCAUUAGCUCCAUAGAGAUCGUAGAUGGAACCUACCUCAAAGAGGCCCUUGAUGGCCUCAUUGGUCCUCUCCCUUGGGGGGAAAGUAAUCGGCCAAGGCCUGGUACUUGAAGUUGGAAGAGCACCGGAAUUUGGGAGGGGGUUGAGCGACGUGGGUAGAGACGAGGAGGAAGAAGAGCAGUGUGAGUGGAGGAAACAUCAGGCCAGCAGACCAUAUCAUCCUUGUCCUCACUGUCUUCUCGUUUCCUUCUGGAACUACUAGUUGCUCAUGUUAUCAUUUUAUGCUCGUCUCUAGGAUGCCGGAAGCGUGGAAGAAGAGACCAACAUUAACCAUCCACCUGCGUUGGUCAAUCCCAUCUCUCUUCUCAUCUCUUCCAUUAUCUUUCCACUUUUCGUGUCAAUCCUGUUUAGAUAGAUAGAUAGAUAGAUGUAUAAAUAUAGAUAGAUAGAUACAUGGAUAGAUAGAUAUAUACAUAUAUAUAUAUAUAUAUAUAUAUAUAUAUAUAUAGAGAGAGAGAGAGAGAGAGAGAGAGGAGGAUGAAUCAGUUUGAGGAAGCUUUUUACCUUUGUUCCAUAAAAUAAGGAAAGGCCUAACUGGUUCUGACCAGACAAAAACAACAGAUCGCUGUCUUGGUCUCCUGAGACUUACAGAGAACGCCACACCACAAAACGCAGCAGGCAUAGAGGGAGGAGCUCGACGUUUGGGUAGAAGAUUUGGUGCCAAGUGACGGCUAGAACAACGGUGGUGCCACCGGGAAUUGUGAUUACACGUCAAACGACCAGAUUUGACUUCACUAAGCCCAUCCAGUGAGGUUAAAAUAGCUUAACCUACAGCGCCCGUUGAAGGUACCAGCUUUCAAUGAGGCCCAAAUUCUGCUCACCGUUGGUUUUACAAGUCUCUACGUAAUUAAUCAGUUGAAGAAACUUACUACAUUGCUGCCAAUAUGUGGAUAGAAAUAGAAUAUACUCGAGAUUCAUCGAGCAAUGGGUGAGCCCUAGUGAGACGGCGAAACCCAUCAACGAGUUGAGCAUGGUAGUUGGCACCUGUUGCAGAUGAGGAAGGGGCAUGCCCCGACAUGUCCUCUCACCCAUAACUGAAGAGCAGAGGGGCCAACUGGAAAAAGACGCCAUGACCUAAUUGUGCUCUCCCACUCCAUGCAUAGAAUCAUCUCUCUCCCUCUCUUUCUAUUUCAUCAAAUUACACAAGAAAGCAACAAACAAAGAAGAAUUAAGACUGAAAGAAGUAAAUCAAAGUUUGAACAAUUGAAAAAAUUGUGGUUCAAACAAUAGUGCUUACUUCCAUCAGAGAGAGAAAGAGAGAACGCAAUGAAGAAAACCGUGGAAGGGUUAUAUUUCUAGUUUACAUGUUAACCCCUUUCAGCUCAUAUGAGAUUACAAUUAUGCGCCCCUUAACACAACAUAAAGAGAGGGAGCUGGUCCCCAUCUCUCGUUUCACACGCCUUUCACCCCUCAGGGCCACUACUUCAACUAUCCUUGUCACUUUCAAGGUCUCUUAGUUAUGGUCCACCUUGAAUUCUUCUGAGAGGGUAGGUGCUUCUCCUUUAUAACAUAUUGAGAGUUGGAUCAAGUCAUGUAACCGGAUUGGUUUAUGUGUCCACAAUAUUUUCUGAAGUGUGAUUUUUCUGUCAAAGAAUAUCACACGUAGUUAUUAAAUUUCUGAUUUUUAGAAAUUUUAUGUCGACCUGUUUACUCUUCAUAUGAUACACUUGAUUCUUUGCCAAAAAACUGACACUCUGACUGUCGCAGUGUAAUGGAACUCCAUCUUGAUCAAUCCCGAGUUUUUUGAUAAAUUAUUUGAUCCAUAAGAAUUCCUUUGGAACUUAGAAUUGUCAUGUAUUCUGACUACAUGGUAGAAAGCCAAGGAAGUCCAUCCAGAAACGUGAUGAUCCAUCCGUUAUGCUGUCAGAUUAAGUGAUUUUGUUCUGCCUGUAACUUAAAUAUAGUGCGCAAGGUUUCGUAGAAACCAUCUCUUUUCGUUGAAUGGGUUAAAAUUAAUUAAUGGCCGCUUGAUUUUGAGUGAACUAGGUAAAUCUCUUUCCGGCAAUGAAUUUAAUUCUUCGUGUUAAUUAAUAAUGGAGUCUAAAUAUGUAAAAUAACGUAAGAGAAUGUAAUUGGGUUAAUGCCAUUGGGCUGGUCUAUGCCAUUGGCUGGAGAGAUGACGAAAGGAAAUGGGGAAGCUUUACAGGAUACGUUAUCAGAUGCCAAAUGUGAGGAACAGUCUGGUCACUGGUUGGUCUGCCGUCUAAGGGACGUCAUCCACGGUCGUUGACCAAUCCUGACGUUCACAAAAGUCGACUAUGGAAUGUUGGUCGGCGCCACUAUUAAACAUAAAGACGGUUUUUCCGACAGGUUGAUCGUUUGCGUGAGUAUCAGCCGCCAGAACGGCCCACAUCCUUGACAACGCAAGGUGUUAGUGUCAGUCCUUGAAAAUUCCAUGAACAUUCUUGAGCCCUGACGUGAUUCAUCCCUGUGUGUGUGUCUCUCUCUCUCCCUCUACCCCCGCCUAAUCUCUCAUGGGGAUAUUAAAUAAGUAUUCCAGAUAUAUUCGUCUGUCACUUUCAAUCGAUCUAUUUCCAUCCCCUCCUACGGUCCAAUGAAACCUCUCGACACUAGGAUGAUCCCCACCCCUAGAAGGUUUUCGUCCCUCUAAAACACACUCUCACUCCUGUUAGGAAGAUGAGCAUCUCGCUCAUUUCACAACAUAAAAAGGUAGAAUGACAAGAUAUAAAGACAUCAAAUGAAAGGAAACAUGCUAGAUUUAUGUGGUUUGGAAAUCUUCCUAUGUCUACAGACCAACAAGCCCUUGUUUUUUCUUGGAGAGAAAAUUAUCUCAUUGGUUCCAACUAAAUUGGAAAAUAUGUGACAUGAUUGGCUGUUGAUGAGUUGCUUGACAAAUCCUGCAAAAGGUACAAUUUAGUUGACAUGUGGGUAGACCCAGCAUGAGAUUUAGUUACACUGGUGUAAUACUGUCAAUUUAACUUGCUUUUGACAACGUCUAAAGAUGUGUUAGUAAAAAAAAAAUUGACAUAUAACAGAUAUUGUAAUGUGUCGAAGUCCUUGUAAGAGGUCUUAUCCCACGUGUUAAGUUUCUACUAUAUAAUUUAUUUUUCUUUCUAUUUAUAUUUUAUUUGAUUUGACUAUGUAGACGCUCUUUUUCCUUCCAUAUUAACAUGGGUCGAGACACAUUUUUUUACUGAGUCCUCACGCGUCUAGGUCAACCUACUUCCUCCCUCCUUGGAUUUGACUUCAAAACAAUGUAUCUUGUUCUAGUUUGAUAUAGUUUAAUGAGUGCAGAAUUUUUUUCAACUGUUUUCUUCAUAUGAGACUUGAAAAUUAUAUUCAUAUUGUUAGGAGACGAGUGUGCUCCUGUAUCAUAAAUGGAAAGAUAAAUUGGAGAUAGCAGAUGUAAAGUGAAAGACACAUCAGAUUUACGUGGAGGGAAAACCAUCAGUAAAGAAUCCUGCAUCUACAGUUGCAUUAACACUUACUCUUCAUUAUUGGAGAAAAAAUCAUCUCCCAUUACAAGUGGUGGCAAACACACACCCACCCCCACCUAGCAUCACGAGAUAGGCUAACCCCAUUAGGGAUGGACUAUAGUUAUGCUACUACGUUUAUAUCAACGGACGUCCCCACGAAGAAGUCGCUGCAACCUAAACCGCACUGCCAACUCAAUGCGGAGUUCGACCAACGUAUCCAUCGCACAAAUAGCCUUGAUCAUUCUCCACAUACUUCCAACAACCCCUUAUGUAUACAAAAAUAUGCACAGUUUUUCUAAAAAUUAACACAUCAUAACUUGAAAGUAGUUGUAAAAUACCCUGCGAGCUCCCCUUCUCGACCAUGUAUGCCAAGCAGGUUGCAUAGCCAUGCACCUCAUCGCUGCUGCAGAGAAGGGGUGGUUCCCUAGCUAGAUCAGGGAUGAAGCUCUCUACGCCAUUGGGGGCAGUAAUACGGUCUCAAGUCACCAAUCAGCUGAACAUUCCCACUGGCGAUGGAUGCAGCAGCCACACAGAGUAGAGGAUCAUGAAGACAGCUGCAACAAUCUCUGGCUCCUCAUCUCCCAAUGGCGCUCUGUUGGUAGUUCUCCAGAGUUUUCAGUCGGACGACGACCCACGAAGAGGCCCAAAUUCUGCCCACCGUUGGUUUUACAAGCCUUCUUGUAAUUAAUCAGUUGAAGAAACUUUCCACAUGGCUGCCAAAAUGUGGAUAGAAAUAGAAUAUACUCGAGAUUUACCGAGCAAUGGGUGAACUCUAGUGAGACGACUAAACCCCUCAACGAGGUGAGCAUGGUAGUCGGCACCUAUUGCAAGUGGAGAAGGGCAGGCCCAGACACGUCCUCUCACCCUACAACUGGAGAGCGGAGGGGCCGACUUGAAAAAGACGACAUGACCUAAUUGUGCUCUCUCAUCCCCUUUAUAGAAUCAUCUCCCUCACCCUCUUUCUGUCGCGUCGAAUCACACAAGGAAGCAAAAAUUAUAUAAGAAUUAAGACCGAAAGAAGGAAAUCAAAGUUUGAACUCACCGAAAAAAUUGUGGUUCAGACAAUAGCGCCUGCUUCUGCGAGAGAGAGAGAGAGUAAUGAAUACAAUCAUGGAAGGGUUUCAUUUCUAGUUCAUAUUUAUAUCCCCUUUCAGUUCGUGUGAGAUUACAAAUAUGCCCCCCUUAAAAUAACAUAAAGAGAGAGCUGUCCCCAUGUCUCAUUUCACGACCCUUUCACCCCUCAGAGCCGAUACUUCAAAUAUCCUCCUCACUAUGAAGGUCUCUCAGAUAUGCUCACCUUGAACUUCUUCUGAGAGGCUAGGUGAUUCUCCUUUUUUGCAUGAUGAGAGUUGGAUCAAGUCAUGUAACCGGGUUGGUUUGGAUAUCUACAAUAUUUUCUAAAUUGUGACUUUUCUGUGAAAGAAUAUCAGCUGUAGGUACCAGCUAUCUGAUUUUUAGAAAUUUUAUGUCGACCUGUUUACUCUCCAUAUGAUACAGCUAUUCUUUGCCAAAAAUCUGACACUCUCACUCGCAGUGUAAUGGAAAUCCAUCUUAAUCAGUUCCGAGUUUUUUGACAAGUUAUUUGAUCGAUAAGACUUCCUUUGGAGCUUCAAGAAUUGUCAUGUAUUCUGACUCCAUGGUAGAAAGCCAAGCAAGUCCAUCCAGAAACAUAAUGAUCAAUCCGUUAUUCUGUCAGAUUAAGUGACUUUGUUCGGCGUGUAACUUAAAUACAGUGCGCAAGGUUUCGUAAAAACCCUCUUUUCGUUGAAUGGGUUAAAAUUAAUUAAUUGCCGCUUGAUUUUGAGUGAACUAGGUAAAUAUCUUUCCGGCAAUGAAUUUAAUUCUUCGUGUUAAUUAAUAAUGGAGUCUAAAUAUGUAAAAUAACGCAAGAGAAAGUAAUUGGGUUAAUGGCGAAUCCAUGCUGUUUUGGGAUGGGGCGUCACUUACUGUAUCCAUUGUGAUUCUGGUUGUUCCAUUGUUAUUGAUGGGUGGUGAAGAUGAAUAUCGGGCCAGAUCAGAACACAACGGUCCCAGGUCUCGCGAUAUUCCCGUCAAGCGAGCAGGAGAACGAAGCAAUAAAUCCAGACGUUAUUAUUCACAAUACCGACACGCUUCGUCAUUCCGCGGUGGCCUACUAGAAAGAGAAGGGGAGGAGAGACACACCCAAGGAGAACAGAAACAGAAGGCGAGGCCAGCGUAGAAGAAGCCCGCGCUCCACGGAUUGAGCUCCAGAGGGUACUAAUGAGAAACUUGGACCUGCAAGAAAUAGAAAGAUGGCAGGGGAGGGAUAGCAUUAGGUCAGCCCGAUGUACUUACUCAUAGAGCCAGUAUCUGCAUGAAAAAGAGAAACAAAAGGAACAGCCCAAGCGGCCAGAGCUGCGCAGCUCACCACAGUCCAUAGCGUUGCUGACCAUGGUAGUGAUGAAUAUGGAGGGGUCGUUAUAGUGGGCAUAGACGCACUUGGUGGCCCUGCAUUCCUUGCCGAAAGUUUCGGAAAACUCUACGGUUUCCUCGGGAUUGCGUUUCAGCGUGCAGAGCUCCAUUAUAUUAGAAGACCGGGAUAAGGACAUCCUGAAGAAACACGAGCGAGAUCUUAAUAUCCUACCAGUGACCAAGAGAUGAAGAUAAGGUGGAGAAGGGGAUCCAUUUUGGGGCUUCGGAGAGAGAGAGAAAGAGAGAGAGAUGGGUCCUCACUCCGUGGCAGGGCUGUUGCAAGUGCACUUGAUGCACUUGCGGACGGUCAGGGCGUAGCUGCCGUUGGGAAGAACAAGAAAAAAUUCGCGGGAAUAGGACAUUCUCUGGGGUGAGAAGCAAGCUGCCGCCGGAGUUGUAAUUGAGGACGCCGUCCAGAUGUUAGUCUGUGGGGAAAUGAAUUUUGAGAGAUAAGAAGCGAGGGAUAUGGCAAUCACCACUCAGGGGCACAUCGAGGACUUGACCGGCGAGCAGAUUCUUCGGGUCGGAUAUGUUGUUGAGGCUGAUAAGCGAUGCCUGCGACGUCCAGAACAUGCUGGAGAGAUUCGCCAGCGNNNNNNNNNNNNNNNNNNNNNNNNNNNNNNNNNNNNNNNNNNNNNNNNNNNNNNNNNNNNNNNNNNNNNNNNNNNNNNNNNNNNNNNNNNNNNNNNNNNNNNNNNNNNNNNNNNNNNNNNNNNNNNNNNNNNNNNNNNNNNNNNNNNNNNNNNNNNNNNNNNNNNNNNNNNNNNNNNNNNNNNNNNNNNNNNNNNNNNNNNNNNNNNNNNNNNNNNNNNNNNNNNNNNNNNNNNNNNNNNNNNNNNNNNNNNNNNNNNNNNNNNNNNNNNGGGGGAACGUAGCCGGCCAAGGCCUGGCACUUGGACUUGGAGCUGCAGCGGAAUUUAGGAGGGGGUUGAGCGGCGCAGGUAGAAACGAGGAGAAAGAGGAAGAGGAAGAGGAGGGGGAAUGGAAGAACGACCGGGCCAGCGUAUGGGAUCAUCUCGAGUAUCUGAUCGUCCUUUUCUUCCUGAGGUACUUCGUGCUCCUCUCACCCUUUUAUGGUCGCUUCCACGGUGUCGGAACCAUCGGAGAAGGUGCACUUGAGAAGAGGCUUUAAGCCAGCCACCAGGCCGUCUCUCUCUCUCUCUCUGUCUAUAACUUGGGUUAACGGAACAGAGCGAAAGUGGAGAAGCUUC